rnacentral:lncRNA from 1 species
GACUUUGUGUUCGGUAAUGCACUAGCUGUUUUUCAAAAUUGCACUUUCGUGGUCCGAAAGCCACUGGAGAACCAACAAUGCAUUGUGACUGCACAAGGUAGAAAAGAGAUACAACAACCAUCGGGAAUAGUAAUCCAAGGGGGAUCCAUUGUGUCUGACCCUGAGUUCUACUCUGUGAGAUUUGAGAACAAGGCUUACCUAGCUCGUCCAUGGAAGAAUUACUCCAGGACCAUCAUCAUGGACACAUACAUUGAUGAUUUGAUUGACGCUGAUGGGUAUUUGCCAUGGCAAGGACUAGAGGGUCCUUCUGGUAUGGAUACUUGCUUCUAUGCCGAGUACCACAACAUUGGCCCCGGUUCAGACAAAUCCAAGCGUGUGAAAUGGGCUGGGAUUUGGAACCUCAAUUCAAAAGCUGCACGUUGGUUCUCACCAUCUAAGUUUUUUCAUGGAACUGAUUGGAUUGAGGUUACUGGAAUUCCUUGCUUUCCUGGCGUGCCGAAACACCAUAGGCACAAAAAGACAAUACUUAAUUGGCAAUAAAAGUAAUGAGUUGCAAAAUCAAGCAAUAUAAAUUAAUUAAAAAGUAAUGAUUGUGCUUCUUUAUUCUUUAAUUAUUUUCAUUUCAUUAAUUAACUCUAGAGUUAACUAUAUUUUUUUAUCUCAAGCAAUUAAAUUUUGUCCAUAGUGAAGCUUCUCUCUUGUGUACUUUGAUUCCUUGAAAGAUGAGAAAAUGAAGAUUUUGCUUCCUUGACUAUUCUUUGUCUCUCUACAUUUGUGAUCAGUAUGAGUCAUAUGGAUUGACAAUUCAUAUGAUUCAUACGGAUCAACAAUUCGUAUGAGUUUUUUAAAAAAACUCAUAUAGAUCGCCAAUUCGUGUGAGUCAUACGGAUCGUCAAUUCAUAUAAAUUAUAUGGAUCACCAAUCCCUUUCACCUGUGUUGCUGGGUGUUGCUGGGUGUCUCACCAAAAAUGUUGGGUGGCCAAAGCAACUACCUUUUUUAUUGGUUGGUAUUUUUCCAGGGUUGCUAGCAACAUGUGAUGCAACUUGGGCUACUUUUUGCAUCUCCAACUUUUUCAUGUAGGGUCUGGCUAUUACACCUAUGUAUUUCCUAAGUACACCCGUAUGCCCCCACUACAGAUAGCCAAUUACCCUUUAUACUCUUUUUCUUAAAAGCACAUGCCCUUUUUGCUUUCAGAAAUGUAUUUAUGGAAUUACACAUACAUAUUCUAGAAAUGUAUCUCUGAAACUAUGAUUCAUAGUUCCAGAGAUAUACUUUUGGAAUUGGUAUAUAUUUUUUAAUAAAAUAUCAUUUAAGAAUUAAGAUGAUUGAUAAGAAAUUAAAAAAAAUAUGAUAAACAUUUAUCUUUUAUUCAUGUUUAUUAGUCUUAUUUUCAUCCCAUCAUUAAUGCUCUUUAAACCCUAAUCGUAAACUGUUGUCACCGUAUAUUCAUUAUAUAAUAUAACAUUUUUAUCAUUAUUUUACAAUAUUUUAUGUUUUUCUUCAUAUGACACUGAGUUUCAACAUACGUUCAUUACUAACUUACUUCAUAUAUUAUACAUCUUUAUUACAAAGCAAAGUUGUUGACGAUGAUUUUCUUCCUUUAAGUGUGUUCAUUCAUUUUAUAAUCAGAGUCUAUGUCAAUGAUUCAGUAUCACGUAAAGUUAGUGAUGAAAAUACCUUGAAACACAUUUUCACAUGAAGUAAAAUGAAGAAAUUAUAAUCAUUCUUAGCCAAAAUUGACUAUCAAAUAAACUUAAAUUUUAUAGUUAUCAUGCACCAAGUUGUUUAAAGUAAUAAAGUUUGAUGACACAAUGUAAUGCAUUUCCUCUCUUGAGAUUGUUUAACUAAUAACUUUUGAGAUUGUUGUGAGAUUGUUUUGAGAUACCUAGCUAGCAAAUAAUUCCUUUACAUUUGAUGGAUAAUUAAUAACUUUUGAGAUUGUUUAACUUUUUUAUUUGUGUUCACGCUGGUUUGGAAUCAAAUGUUUGACAAAAAAUAAAUAAAAUAAUUUAUUUAAUUAAAAUAAUUUAUUUUCAAAAUGUAUAAAUCAAUUAUCAAAAUGUAUAAUCAAUUAUUCACAAAAAAAAUUGAUAAUCAAUUGUAGGACAUGAAAAUCAAUUUUCUAAGUUUUCAAAAUCGAUUUUCAUAUAAGUUUGGAGGUAUAUAGUUAAAUUAAAGUAUAAUGGGAUAAUUAAGUAUUAGGUUUAUCUUAAAAUUAUCUCUAUUGUACUAUUGUGUUUACUAAGCCUAAUUUAACUAAAAAUCCCUUUAGAAGAUCUUCUUGCUUAUUUAUUAAGUAUGAAUCAAUCUAAUAAAAGUAAUAAGGACUCAAGAAUUUAUUCAUUUGCAAUCCAUCAUAUAACAUGAGAACGUCUAGCGAUAACUCAAACAUCACCACUUAUUUCCACUACCACACAAAUCACACCACCAUGUGCUUCAAGGAAGUGUAAAUCUGAAUAUGACAUAAGAGAUAUAAGUAAACAUGUGCCUAUGGCUCAUUUCUAGUCAUAUUGCUACAUACUAUAACAUGUCUAAGAUCUAAUGUGGAGUGGAGAAAGUUACGCCAAAAGUAGAGGCAAAAUAACUUCAAUAAUGUUAUUUCAAAUGGGUUAAGGAGGCUGGCUUUUGGACAAGUCAUAGCAUAUUUGAUUUGAAUUAUGCCCAAUCCUAUGGUGAUAAUCAACUGUGGUUGGGAUCUGUGCUGAAUUUAUUUAUGAUCAUAGGAUACAAAUAAACAACAAUAAGUUAUAUGCAAGAAUUUCUCAUCCGGAUUUGUUAAUGAUUUCCAAUCAAACUAAUAUAUAAAGGACCAAAGGCUACCACUUCAAAAGCAUUAGAAACUAAAAAAAAUUCUAAGUUGCAUCCUUUUGCUAAAAGCAAAUUCUUUUAGCUUUUUUUUUUCUAGAAUGCGUUAGCAGUUUUUUAAUAAAUAAGAGAUUCAUACUGUUGACUCCUUGGCAAGUGCACCAAAUUGUCACAAGUAGUGAAGUACUCGGAUGUCUGAGUGUCGAAUCCACAGGGACUUUGUUUGUACUUAGAUUAAUGCAAAUCCAAUUUUAGAAGCAAGAGAUAAAAAAUUUAAAAUAAAAGAUAAAGAAAGAUAAGAUAAAUAUUUAAAGAUAAAAAUAGAAGAUAAAGAAAAAGAUAAAGGAAUUAAAGAUAAGAUUAAAAGAUAGAAGAUUAGAAAGAUAAAAGAUUUAGAUAAAAGAUAAAUUCAAGAUAAGAUAAUGUUAGGAACUGACUUGCCUAGCCUGCCUAGGAUGUAUGAGUUUAUGAUGUUUCUUUACCAAUUCAGGUAUCUCCCAAAUGCCUUUGCAAAGACUCAACAACAGAUAAAAUGCCUGAAGUUGUUCUAAUUCUAGAUGUUUGCUUUGACGCAUGGACAUAAUGCAAUCACUCUAUGCCUAGCAAUGAUUUUAUUAUGAUAUCUUUUCUUCUUGUUCUAUUAGAAGUUAUCCUCUCCCGAGCGUCUAGCCCCUAAAACUAAUGCAUGCAUAUCUUCUUUAAAUCUUAUUUAGAAGUUACCCUUUCCCGAGCAUCUAACCCCUAAUAGAAUAUAAAGAUGAGUAUGCAAGAUGAAAACAUAAAAGAAAAUAGGAAAGAAAAACCUGGUAUUGCAUUGAUAAAUGGUGAAGAGUACAUCAUACAUUACAAUGGCUUCUAGACCUGUCAGGCCCUAACUAAGGGUUUAGCCACUCAUGGCCAUUGAGGGCUUUACAAUGAGAAGAGGGAUGAAAGAAAGGGAGUAAAUGAAACCCCUAAGAGAGGGGGUUCUAUUGUGGUGUGUUGUCCUCCUUGGACUGGCUGUCUAUUUAUAGCUGCUGAAAUGGGCUUUGGGCCUUCGUAGGCGCGCUUAGCGCGACACCCCUCGCUCAGCGCGUGUAGAUCGCGUGCUUAGCGCGCUUGUUGCAGGCUUAGCGCGUGCUUCUGUUGGAUCGUGGGCUUAGCGUGCGUGUUGCAGGCUUAACACGUGCUUCUGUUGAAUCACAGGCUUAGCGCGUGUUUUGCAGGCUUAGCGCACAUGACUACUCUCGAGCUUAACGUCUCACUUAGCGUCUGUGCUUCCUGGCCCACUUAGCACAUGACACGCGCUAAGCGCACGUAUUGGGCUGGGUCUACUUCAGAUUUUCUUCUUUUCUUCAAUUUUUCUGAGCUUUUUGCUUGUUACACCUCCAGUUUUUAUAUCUGCAGCCAAAAUUCAACAAAACCUUUAUGCUCUCUUAGAACCCUAAAAUAAGGUUAAAGAUAUCAUAAUUAGGCUCAGGGGUUUUAUUUAGAAAAAUAAUUACUAAUUUUGGCUCAACAAGGGUGCAAGGUAUAAAUUUCAUCACAAGUUGGCGUUUUGGCUAAGUGGCUAAAAUAAAAAAAGAAACAUGGCCUUGAUUAUAUCCACCUUAUGUAAAUAAUCUAACAGUCUAAGAAUGAUGCAAAAUUAGGAAUUUAAAAACAGAUGUUCUCUCAUAAUUAAGUUCACACAGCUCACCGGGACAAGAUAAAGUUAUUGGCUUACCGGACCAUGAUCUCUUUCCAUCAAGCUAACCUUUUCUCUCUUUGUGAUUCAUGUUCCACUAUUUGACUGACUCUUGCUUCCAGGAAACCAGUAUUUUCACAAUUGUCAUGCAACAUUUCAAGUGUUGAAUCCAUAAGAAAAAGUCUAAAUAGUCUCUUCACAAAUAUCAUGCAAUUUUUAUUCAAUGACUAAAUUUAAAGUACUGGAAUUAAAAUGCAUAAAAUCAAAAUGCAAAAAUUCAAAAUAAAAAAAGAAAUAACACAAUUAUCCUAAAAGAAACAAAUUGCAAUUAACUAAAAGAGAUAAAGUAAGAAAUCCUGGGUUGCCUCCCAGUAAGCGCUUCUUUAACAUCAUUAGCUUGAUGGGUCAAAUGCAUUCAAGGUGGCAUGAAGGUCACAUAAAACACAUCUUCCUUGCAUUUUCGCCUCUUAGCUAGAGACGCCAUGAAACUCAUGUAUCCCGGAAACACCUUCCAUAUUGUUGCAAGGGAAGUGCUGGUGGUCAAGGAGAGAAGGACACUUAAGGGUUUAUCAUGUUUUCCAUGUCUUUCUUACUUGACAAUCAGUUGAUGAGGAGGGUUUCUUGUUGAAUUUCUACUUGUGAGUGUUUCUCCCAUUGUUGUGCUUUCUCCUCAUUUCUUUCUAUCUCUUCCUUAUUUUCUUCUUCCACAUCUUCCUCAGUUAAAAUUACUUUGCACUCCUCUUUGGGCUUCAUCUCAGUAUUGACCCUAAAGGUUUCGGUGGGCCUUUCAGCAACUAGCUUAGCUAGUUGUACUUCCAGAUUUCUGAUGUGACCUUGUUUCCUGCAUGAAUUGUAAUAACAAUUCUUCUAGCCUAGUGCUUUCUUCCUGUGGGCUGGGCUCUUGGUCACGUAGAAUGACAUGAUCAUUGGCCGCCAUAUUCUCUAUUAGCUCAAUAGCUUCUUUCGGAGUCUUUAACUUGAUCUUCCCAUCGGCUAAGGCAUCGAGGAGCUGCUUGGAAUGGGGUUGUAAGACAUCAAUAAAGAUGUUGAGCUGGAUUGGAUCGCUAAACCCAUGUGUAGGAGUCUUCCAAAGUAACCCAUGAAAGUGAUCAAGGGCUUCACUCAACGAUUCAUGAGGAUGUUGGUGGAAGGAUGAGAUUUCCACCUUUCCCUCAAUGGUCUUGGACUCUGGGAAGUACUUCUUCAGGAACUUCUCCACCACCUCGUCCCAUGUCCGCAGGCUAUUCCCCUUAAACGAGCGAAUCCAUGUUUUUGCUUUAUCGGCCAAGGAAAAACAAAAUAAGUCGAGGCAGAUGGCAUCUUCAGGCACUCCUACUAUCUUCACCGUGUUACAAAUAUCUAUGUAUGUGGUCAAGUGUGCAUAUGGAUCUUCACUUGGUAGGCCGUAAAAUAAAUUCCCUUGAAUUAGCUGGAUCAAGUAAUAUGGAUAUGAGAAGUUGGCUGUCUGCACCUCUGGUUUAACUAUCCUGGUGAAGUAUUGAAGUAUAAUAGGACUAGAGUAAUCCUCUAGUGUUAUCCUCUGUGGAUGAUCUCUUGCCAUGAUGAGUUCUUCAAAGAAGAAAUGUGCAUUGUUCAUAAGAGAAAUAACUACCAUGCACGUUAUCACAGAAUAAAUAUUUUUUUUUUAAUUUUAUUUUUCUUUGUUAAAAAGAAAAGAAUAAAAAAAGAAUGAAUACAGAGAAGAAAAAAAAUUGAAAAAAAAUGAAGCAACUAAAAAUAAUAAAAAUAGAUAAAAAAAAGUAAAAAUAAAAAAUAAAAAGUGAAAACUAAUUGCUUUAAAAUUGGAAUAUGCAAAUAAUCAAGUACGAAAGUCCUCGGCAACGGCGUCAAAAACUUUGUUUGUACUUAGAUUAAUGCAAAUCCAAUUUUAGAAGCAAGAGAUAAAAAUUCAAAAAUAAAAGAUAAAAAAGAUAAGAUAAAUAUUUAAAGAUAAAAAUAGAAGAUAAAGAAAAAGAUAAAGGAAUUAAAGAUAAAAUUAAAAGAUAAAGAAAAGGAUAAAAGAUUAGAAAAGUGAAAGAUAAGAAAGAUAAAAGAUUUAGAUAAAAAAAGAUAAUUUCAAAAUAAAAUAAGAUAAUGUUGGAAACUGACUUGCCUAGCCUGCCUAGGAUGUAUUAGUUUAUGAUUUUUCUUUACCAAUUCAGGUAAUUCUAUCCUACUCACAUCUAUUUAUUUACUUGCCUUGCCCCUGAUGCCUCACGAUGACAAGCCUAUUUUACCUAUCUAUAUUCCAAACAUGGGCAUAAUGCAAUCACUCUAUGCCUAACAAUGAUUUUAUUAUGAUAUCUUUUCUUCUUAUUCUAUUAGAAGUUAUCCUCUCCCGAGCGUCUAACUCGUAAAACUAAUGCAUGCAUAUCUUCUUUAAAUCUUAUUUAGAAGUUACCCUUUCCCGAGCAUCUAAUCCCUAACAAAAUAUAAGGAUGAGUAUGCAAGAUAAAAACAAAAAACAAAUUAGGAAAGAAAAACCUGAUAUUGCAUUGAUAAAUAGUGAAGAGUACAUCAUACAUCGUGUUUGCUUUUAGGCCUGCUAGGCCCUAACUAAGGGUUUAGCCACUCAUGGUCAUUGAGGACUUUACAAUGAGAAUGGGUGAAAGAAAGAGAGGGAGUAAAUGAAACCCUUGGGAGAGGGGUUCUGUGGUGGUGUGUUGUUCUCCUUUGAACUAACUCUCUAUUUAUAGCUGCUGAAGUGGGCUUUGAGCCUUCGUAGGCGCGCUUAACGCGACACCCCCUCGCUCAGCGCGUGUAGAUCGCGCGCUUAGUGCGCGUUUUGCAAGCUUAGCGCACAUGACAACUCUCGAGCUUAAUGUCUCGUUUAGCGCCUGUGCUUCCUGGCCCACUUAGCGUGUGACGUGCGCUAAGCGCACAUAUUGGGCAUGGCCUACUUCAGAUUUUUUUAUUUUCUUCAAUUUUUCUGAGUUUUUUGCUUGUUACACCUCCAGUUUUUAUAUCUGCAGCCAAAAUUCAACAAAACAUCAAUUCUUUAAUAUUUAAGCGCAAAUAACUACUAAAUAAUUAUUUAUAAAGAUAAUUUUACCUUAUUUUCUAUUAUCAAAAUACAAUUAUUUAACGGUUAUCACAUAUCUCUAUGACUUUGUCCAGCACCUAAUGUAACAUGUCUGGAUUAGGCCUAUGACCAGGAUAUCUUACUGAAAACAAUUUAUUUUAUACUAACAUUAAAAUAAACUUCGAACACCACUAAUAUCAUGAUAAAUUUUAAGAAUAAGAACAGGCUCAAAGAAAUGGCAAGACAAGUUGGCAGUUACCAAAUAUAAAUACUCUUGCGUGAUUAUGCGUGCAGGUAAGAUAAUUCUGGGAUCAAUUCUGUUAUAUGCUGUGUCCGUUUAUUAAUUAAUUACCUUUUUUUUUUAUCUCACGGUAGAUCUUAGUGUAUAAAACGAAAGUUCUCAAAUUAAGGGGCAGAGAAAAUUUUUUAUUUUCCGUGAAUUAGAGGGGUAAAAAUUAGGUUUUAAUAUUUGAUAUGUAUUUUAAAAAAUUAAUAUUUCUGAAAAAAAAUGUUUCUCAAGAAUUUUUUUAAUCAGUUUCCGAUGAAAAAAAUUUCUAUGUGAAGUAAGAAUCUUAUUUUUUAAUUUUUUUUUUCCUAUAGUAAAAAUAUCAUAUUAUUUUUUUAUUAAAUUAUAUAAUAUGAUAAAUACAAAAAUCAUAAAAAAUAUGUAAUUCUUUAUUUUUUAUAAAACUUAUUUAAAGAUUUCCAAUAUCAAUCAAAUAAAUUUAAUUUAUUUUAAAAAAUAUGAUUCUCAGACAUUAUAAUUCUUGAAUAUAAAAAAACUUCUUCCUCCUAAACGUCCCUAAAAGAAAUGUUCACUCUAGUCAAAGUUUGGGUUAGCAACAUUGAGUCAACAAUUUAUUUAUUUGGAUCUAAGACUCAAACUUAACAUCAAUGCAUUAAGUUGGUACCUAGUCUCAAUUCCCUUUUUAUGACUGAGAUUAAUUAAAUCCUAAUCCUUAGUUAAAGAAUCUAAAUUCUAAAUCACUUGUAUAUUAACAACUUGUUAAUUAGUGUCAUCAUCUUUUAUUAUGUGUAAAAAAAACAUGAUCUGGUUUUUUUCUCAGCUCCCCUCAGUUUUAGUUUGUCCAAACAUAAACGUAUAAGCCCACAGAAAAACAGAUAUGGAUAAUAAGGUUUGUGUUUCUCUGAAUUCAAAUCUUGGAAAUGUUCAUAUAUAUGUUAUUAUGAUACUCACGAGAGCAGUGUAUUAGGCAGUGUAUUUAAUUACAGUUAUUAAUGAAGAAGGGUUCUCUAGCAAUAGACCAGAAGAUAGAGCAUUCAAUUUAUGUCAUGAAUUAUGCGAUUUGAGUUCUGAAAAUCACCCUGGAAUCCGCCUUACUUUGAUGCUGAAAAUAUAAAGAAAAUAGGCCUCAGUGCCCCGUUGCACCAGUGGGGAUUUGAUAUGUAUAGCACCUUUGAUUGACUGAUUGCACCCCAAGUAAUAAUAAAUUAAUAGAAAAAUAUAUUCCACCUUACUUUCAUAUCCAAAUAUUUAUUUUAAACUUUAUUAUAUUUUUAGUUCAUUAAAUUAAAAGGUAUAUGUCCUUCAAGUAAAAAUUUAUAUUUUUUUAGUUCCUUAAACUUAUAAUAAAAUACUUUUUUAGUCUUUUCAAAUUGAGUUUUUUUUAUAGUUUAGAUACAUAAUUUAUGGAGUUUUUUUUAAUAGAAGUACUAAUCAAACAUUUUGUAAAAUUGAGUGAAUAAAAAAUAUAAAUUUUAAUCUGAAAACUUAAAAAGAGACCUCAAAGGACUAAAAAAUAUAUUAAAAUUUUUAUUUUAAUACCAAAAGCAAAAUCCUUGUACUAUGAUUGCUAGUUCCCAAUUUAUGUUAUAAAAUUAAAAUAUAAAACGGUAUUACAUUUAUAUAUUAAAAUAAAACGUGAUUCCUAAGAAUUUGAUAUUAUUAAUUGACAACUAUUGUGUACUUGCAGUUUUUUCACGUCAAUCCCUCAUGGAGAAACUUUGUUUAUGAAGAAUUUCAGUGUUUUUCUGUUAUUGGUAGAUAUAAAUUUGCAAUUUGUUUGAUAUUUAUUAAUCAAUCGCUAUUAAUAGAAGUAAUGAAAGGUGAAUCUGAGUUUGAAUUUGUGAGAUUCAGAAUGUGUUAGAUUUUGAAUGUGAAAGAGAUUAAAUAAUAAUAUGGUAAAACAUGUUUUUGUUCUCUAUAAAACAUUUGAAGUUUAGUUUUAGUCUCUUAAAAUAAUUUGGUUUAUUUUUCAUUAUAAAUGUAUCAUUUUUAUCCCUCAAGUAUUAUUUAAACCACUUCUUGUCUCUUCAUAAAGUAUUAUAUAAGUCACAUCAAAAAUAAAAAGUGACACGCUUAAAUAAUAGAAAGAUAAAAAAAAAUGAACAAGUUUUUAGAGGAACUAAAACUAAACAUUAGAAAUUUGAGAGACCAAAAUCAUAUUCUACAAAAAGAUACACCACAAAGUAGCAAAGGUCAAAUAAAAAAUAUAAACUUUUAUUUCAAGUCAAUUUGACAAAAAAUUUACCAGUUGAAAUUACCUUCUAUACCAAAUCAAUUUUAAUAUUUAGUCAUACAUCACUUAUAAGGUGAUACUCGGUGGUACACCUUACCCUGAACCAUACAUCUAAUAACAUUAAUUUUGAAAUACGAAGAAAAUUGUUAUAUCUCACUUACAACAUAUCACUUUAAGCAACACCAUUAUUUGUGCUAUUUAAAUUUAUUUUUAUAACCAUGAGAUAAAUUUAUUUUAAGGCAGUGAGUAAGUUAAGAAAUGUUUGUGCUAUUUAAAUUUUUCUUUGAACCAAACUAUAUGGCUGUCGAAACAAUUAUGGUAAUGCAAUAGUUAAGAGUAGUUAGUUACAUAAUAAUUAAUUACAAGUCAUCUGGUAUAAUUUAUAAAAUAAGUAUUAUAAAAUUUAAUAAAUUUAUAAUAUAAUAUGAGGUUUAUGAUUGAGUAAUAAUGUAAAAAAAAUUAUUUUAUCCGUAUAUAUACUAUUUACUCUAUUUUGUGUUCAUUUCUUUUAUUUCUUUCUAUUAUUUUUAGGGUCUUAUUUUUCUAUUUUAAAAUGUAAAUAAUAAGUUUUCUUAUUUAUACUAUAUAGUAUGAAUAUCCAAAUAGUAGAACAGAGACUGUAAUAUAUGUUUUAUCUUAUUUUAUUUUAUUUUCAUUUUAUUUCGACUUAAUUUCCACAUAUAUGAUUUAUAUUAACAUGCAUGCCAUUAGUUUGAGUGCUGAAACUAAAUUCAUAUCUAUUAGUUUGAGUACUGAAACUAAAUUCAUAUCUUUUAAUUAAGAUGUUAAAUUUGAAUCUUAUAAAUAAAUAAAAAUUUGAUUGAGAGAAGAAAUUUUCCUUUUUUUAUAUAAAAGAAAAAAUCUUACUAAAGUGAUUUGAUCUGAAUUGUAUUGUAAAACAUAUAUGAUUGAGAGAAAACUAGCUACAUUUUGCAAUAGAAAUUAGGCAUUUUAGAAAGUAAAUAUUUACAUCAGUAAGAAGGAAAAAAACUUAAUGCCUAUAUUAUUUAUUAUAUUCAUUAGUUAGCUGGAGGAGUAGUUAAGUCACCCUCAACUUUAUUCAAAUUAAUUUCCUAUAGAUCAUUGGACUUGCAGUGUUAAUGAUCUGAUUUGACGUCAACAUAAUUUAAAUUGAUCCGGUGCAGGUGAUGAUUUGGUCUGAAUUGUAUUAUUAUUCAAUUGCGUUCUUUCCGAAAAUAAUUUCAUAACCUUUUCAUAUCAUUAAAAUUCAUGCACAUUUUCUUUUUUAUUCUAAUUGCACAUUUGGUUUAUUUAUACAUGGUUAAGAAAUUUCAUUGUUAGGUGGUUAAGAGUAGUUAGUUACAUAAUUGGUCAAGUGAUUAGGUUAAAUGGAUGGACAAGAGUGGAAGGAGAUUUCAUUCUCAAUAGUUAGUAUUAAGAAAACUGAGCAUUAGCUCAAUUGUAGAAUGGGAAACCCCUGGACGGAGUAUUAAUAACAUCAUAUUUUUGCCGUCUUGUGCUCUGAAUCUAUAUGCAUUUCUUCCUUAAUACUUCGUAAUUUAUCUUUCCUUUCUUUUAUCACUUCACAUAGAGGAUGAAAUUGAUGAUAUCCAGAAGGUAUAAUCUUGUAGAUUACAUGUACUUGAUAUUUGUUGUACCCAAAUUUUUAAAUUUUGAUUAUGUUCAAUAUUUUCAGGAAAUUUCUGUUCUGUCCCAAUGUCGAUGUCCAUACAUUACUGAAUAUUAUGGUUCCUAUCUCAAUCAAACUAAACUUUGGAUAAUAAUGGAAUACAUGGCUGGUGGCUCAGUUGUUGAUCUAGUAGGCAAAGGCUGCUGGUGACAGAAAUUCAAAUGCCUCAAUGGAAGAUAGUGCAACAAGUCUUGCUGAGGUAACAUUUCUCUUUGAUAUAACUUGUAAUUUUCACUUGCAUGUUGAUUAAUACAAGCUGAGCCUCCCCCCUUUCUUUUGUAUAGAUUUGGUUCCAUGAUGCUGUUGAUUUAUUUGUAGAACAAUAUUUAUUAUUUUCCCUUGUUAUAUAGUUGCCUGAGUUACCCACCUAGGUGUUUUGUAGGGUAUAUUCUUAAACCAUUUCCUAUGUAUCUGUGUCGAAAUUUUUUCACUUUAUAUUCAUUUAUAAUUUAUUACGAGACUUGACAUGUUUGUGAUUACUUCGGAUUGAUAUUGCUUAUAAACAACAUUUUCCUACCUGUUUGUCUUUGUAGGCAAAGGGUGCUAUCAUGAGGAAACAAAAAAAAAUAGCUCCAAUAACAAAAAUAACAAAAAAAAGUUGCAUUCUACAUUGGUUCUAGAAAGAUCGUCGUAGAAUGCUAUCCAUUCUAAGACGGUCACAUGUGAAUGACCGUCUUAGAAUGAGUACCUGAUACUCAUUCUAAGACGAUCUUUCACACAUGACCGUCUUAAAAAUAUACCUAUUCUAAGAUGAUUCUGCGCGAUCGUUGUAGAAUACCUACUCCUUUUUACGACGUCAUCUAGAAUGACUCAAUUAAUCGAUGUAGAAUGCACCUUCUCUAGUAGUGACACAUUAAUUAAACAUAUUUGUUUAAAAAGUAAAUUACACUAAUCGUUCCUAAAGUUUUGUGAAAUUACAUAAAUUUUUUCUACUUGUAUGUACUCCUACACUAAACCCUUAAUUUUAUGAAAAUAUAUAUCAAUACACCUUAUACAUUACAUUAACCGCCCUUAAUUGCUUUGAAAAACAUUACGCCAUCCUCCCCUACAAGGGAGGUUUUUGUAAAUAUUAAAAAUUGAGAAAAACUUUAUGUACACCAAAUCUCAUGGAAUGCUAAUUAGUGUAUUUUACUAUAGUUUAAAAUUAUAGUUAAAUAUUUAUGGAGUGUGUGCUAACUUGUCUUAAGGAAUUUGUGUACAAACAAAACUUGUUCCUUAAUUUUAAACUUUGGAGGUCAUUUUCAAAGUGUACGCAUAUGAAAAAAGUAUUAAAAAAAUUAUACAAAGAUAAUAAUUGUAUAUAAUAAAAUAGAUUAUAUUAAUUAUUUCGUAUUCAAAAAGAAUUAUUUGUUUGAUCAUUUUUUUAUUGCUGACAUUUAAGAGUGAAUUAAAGUAAGAAAACUUUCAAUUUGUAACCCAUGUUUAAGACUGGUGUAUAUUGUACUACCAACUAUAGACCUGGUCUGAUACCACAUUUACUAUUGGUAGAGCGUAAAUCAAGGUUAUAACUUAGUGGAUUAGCAUAAAAUUUGUCAAAAAUAGGUCAUAUAAGCUAACCAUAUACACAAUGUGGCCUUUACAUUCCCUCUCUCCCUUUCUUAUUUUAGAAAAUAUGAUUUUUAACGUUUUAACAAACCACAAAUUGCAUUUGAAUGAUUCAAUUGUAUUAGCUGUUCAAUACCAUUUUUUGUAUGCAUAAAUAACACUUUACAUUGCAUCCCUAAACUACAAAAACGUAUUCUUUGAGGGAAUUUGACAAAAAAGUAGCCACUGCCCCAACGAUCCCAUUUCCCUUGACUUCUCUACCUGAAGCUCCUUGUUUCGCAUAGUAUGUGCAUAAAUUAAUAUACAAGUUAAUUUGAGGAAUACAAUAUAUUUAUAUGUUAUGUAAAUGUGACUUUCUUAUUAUUAGAUUUUGAUCUUUAAAAAAAUUAAUUUUGUUUAUUUUGAUCUUCAACAAAAUUAUUAUAUUUCAAAUAGUGUCUAUAGUUACUUGAUGAUGAUGUUAAAUGCAUUUAGUUAUACCCUGUUACAUGUCACAACAAAAUGGUUGGUGGUGCGAUAUGAGUAGCUGCAUGACAUUUUAUAACCAAGCGCAUUAUAUGAAGUUUUUUUCAACAAUUGUAGAGAUAAAAACAAAAGAAAAAAGAAUCAAAAUCAAACAAGCCAUGUUUAGAGUUUAAAAACAUGCCCAUUCUUAAAUAGUGUAUAGGAAUAUUAUGGCCAUAUUACUUGUCACAUUAACUAAUUUUACAGUAAUACUCAUUAAUGACAGGGAGGUAGUUGAAAUGUCCGAGGGAAAUGCAGGGAAAGGAAAGAAAAUCGCCAUCAUUGGUGUCUCAACCUUAUUGUUGGUGGCUAUGGUUGUGGCGGUCACAAUUGGGGUCAAUCUCAAUGAGAAUGGUUCCAACAAUGAUAUAGAGGACAACAAGAAAGAUCAUGUUGCUUCUUCCAUAAAAGCCGUCCAAACCCUUUGUCAUCCCACAAAUUAUGAGAAAGAAUGCGAGGAAAGCCUUAUAGCUGGGGCUGGAAAUACCACAGAUCCAAAAGAACUCAUCAAAAUUUUCUUCAACAUCACCAUUACAAAAAUUGGUGAUAAACUCAAAGAAACUAAUAUUUUGCAUGAGAUUGAGGAGGAACCCAGAGCCAAGAUGGCACUUGACACUUGCAAGCAACUCAUGGAUCUUUCUAUUGGGGAAUUAACAAGGUCACUUGAUGGAAUAAAUGAGUUUAACCUCAUAAAUGUUGACAAAAUCCUCAUGAAUUUAAAAGUUUGGCUUAGUGGUGCGGUUACAUACCAAGAUACUUGCUUGGAUGGGUUUGAGAACACCACUAGUGAUGCUGGCAAAAAGAUGAAGGAUUUGUUGACGAUAGGCAUGCAUAUGAGCAGCAAUGCCCUUGCCAUUGUAACAGGUUUGGCUGACACUGUUAAUGAUUGGAAUAUCACAAAAUCAUUUGGGCGUCGCCUCCUUCAAGAUUCUGAGCUUCCGUCAUGGGUUGAUCAACAUAGACUCCUUAAUGAAAAUGCAAGUCCAUUCAAACGCAAGCCUAAUGUUACUGUAGCCAUAGAUGAUAGUGGAGAUUUCAAAAGCAUCAAUGAGGCAUUGAAGCAAGUGCCUGAGAAAAACCGAAAGCCAUUUGUGAUCUACAUCAAGGAGGGCGUUUACCAAGAGUAUGUUGAAGUUACAAAAAAAAUGACCCAUGUGGUGUUUAUUGGUGAAGGGGGGAAAAAGACACGAAUAUCUGGUAACAAAAACUUCAUAGAUGGAACGAACACUUAUAGAACUGCCACUGUCGGUAUGUCUCUUUUCGUGAUUAUCAACUUAAUUAACUUACUACUCCUAUGCAUUUGAGUAAAAAAAAAACUUAAUAACUUAUCCAAUAAAUUUAUUAAAUAUCAUAUGUCAUGUUCUUCAACUUGAAUAAACUCUUUGAAAAGUCCUUUCCUUACUUAACAUUUUAAGGUCCAUAGUUUUUAUUUGAAAACACCUUUAACCCGCCCCAAAAUGAAUAAAUUAAUAAAAGAUACAUUUACAAAAUUUAAAAAAUAAAAAUAUAAACCAUUUUCAAUUCAAGGGAAAUUUUUCAUUCGAAUAAAUAAAUUAACUACUUUACGCAUGCAGCUAUUCAAGGAGAUCACUUUGUGGCCAUCAAUAUGGGGUUUGAGAAUUCUGCUGGACCUCAUAAGCAUCAAGCGGUGGCAUUGAGAGUCCAAGCAGACAAGUCCAUCUUUUACAAUUGCUCAAUGGAUGGGUAUCAAGACACACUUUAUGCACACACCAUGCGUCAAUUCUAUUUUUCAUUCGAAUAAAUAAAUUAACUACUUUACGCAUGCAGCUAUUCAAGGAGAUCACUUUGUGGCCAUCAAUAUGGGGUUUGAGAAUUCUGCUGGACCUCAUAAGCAUCAAGCGGUGGCAUUGAGAGUCCAAGCAGACAAGUCCAUCUUUUACAAUUGCUCAAUGGAUGGGUAUCAAGACACACUUUAUGCACACACCAUGCGUCAAUUCUAUAGAGAUUGCACCAUUUCAGGUACCAUCGACUUUGUGUUCGGUAAUGCACUAGCUGUUUUUCAAAAUUGCACUUUCGUGGUCCGAAAGCCAAUGGAGAACCAACAAUGCAUUGUGACUGCACAAGGUAGAAAAGAGAUACAACAACCAUCUGGAAUAGUAAUCCAAGGGGGAUCCAUUGUGUCUGAUCCUGAAUUCUACUCAGUGAGAUUUGAGAACAAGGCUUACCUAGCUCGUCCAUGGAAGAAUUACUCUAGGACCAUUAUCAUGGACACAUACAUUGAUGAUUUGAUUGACGCGGAUGGGUAUUUGCCAUGGCAAGGACUAGAGGGUCCUUCUGGUAUGGAUACUUGCUUCUAUGCCGAGUACCACAACAUUGGCCCUGGUUCAGACAAAUCCAAGCGUGUGAAAUGGGCUGGGAUUUGGAACCUCAAUUCAAAAGCAGCACGUUGGUUCUCACCAUCUAAGUUUUUUCAUGGAACUGAUUGGAUUGAGGUUACUGGAAUUCCUUACUUUCCUGGCGUGCCGAAACACCAUAGGCACAAAAAGACAAUACUUAAUUGGCAAUAAAAGUAAUGAGUUGCGAAAGCAAGCAAUAUAAAUUAAUUAAAAAGUAAUGAUUGUGCUUCUUUAUUCUUUAAUUAUUUUUAUUUCAUUACUUAACUUUAGAGUUAGCUACAUUUUUUUAUCUCAAGGAAUUGAAAUCAAUGUAGCACAAUUCCUCUCUUGAUAACUUUUUGUUUAGUGGAUAAUAAAUGGGUCUUCUAUAUAUUCUUAAUUACAUUUGCAUCUAAUUUGAUUUUUACGUAAGUAAAGUGAUUUGUUGCUAUGUACUUUUAAUUGUUACAUUUGGCCUUUUCUUUUUCAACCAUCAUUUAUCAAAAUAAAAUUAUGAUGAAGCAUUUACAUAUUGGUGAAUUUAAUCAACACGACUACUUAAAUUUAACUCAUUGAAUGUGCUGUUUAAGUUUUAUUAAUCUUGUCACAAGUCUUUAUUGUAUUCUAUAUAGAUAAAAAAAUAAGUAAAAAAAAAUGACAAGGAUAAAAAAUAAUAUUUCAAACAAAUAAUUAAUGAUAUUUUAUUAUAAAUGAAGUAUAUCCGUAUCAAAGCCAUUAGAUUUGAACCUUAGUGUGAUCAUUGUACAUAAAAAAAAAAUAUCAAUGUGUCAUAUUAUUUUAUGACAACAUUGUUUGUGCAAGCUACAUUAUUAUUAAGAAAUUAUAUAUAUAUAGGUUUCAAGGACAUUAAGCUUAAGCUUACCUACAUCUAUAAAACAUUUUCCUCUUGACUUGUCCAUCAAUACAAUUUAAAUUUUUAUUAAUUUAACCAAUAAAAAAAUACAUUAAAAAGGUAUUUCUAGCACUACUCUUAAAUACAAUGACAAGGAAAGAAACCAAGUUACUCAAGUUGUUAUUCGCUAGGUAGGUAAUAUUACAUCCCAUUUAGAAGAGAAAUUUUAGCAAAGAUAUUGUUAAUACUAUUAUUAACUGAAAUUUUUUAGAAAUUAUAAAAUUAUUUAAUUUUUGUUAAAUUACAAUUUUUCUUACCUUCAUUUUCCAAAUUCAUGAUUUUGGUCCUCCUGAUUUUUAAUUUUAAAAUUUGAUCUUCCAAAUUUUGUAAAUUUAUAAUUUUGGUCAUCCUUAUAGAAUAUUAAACUAAUAAUUAUGAUUAACAGAUUUAUUAAAUUAACUAUAAAUUAAAUAAAAAUUAUUAAUCAUUAAAAAAUCUUAACAAAUGAUUAUUAAUUCUAAUGAUAUUGUUGCUAGUGGAUUCCUAUGUGAUGAUAGAGGUGAAAGAAGUAUUUACAGAAAAAAGUAAGGACACUCUCUUGUGAAGGAUCAAGGUUAAUAAUUUUUAUUAAAAUUUUAAUAGUUAGUGGGUUUUAAUUAAUUUAUAAUUAAAUUAAUAACAGUUUAAUCAAAAUUAUUUAUUAAUAAUCUAUCAGUGGAACAAAAAUCAUCAAUUUAUAAAAAUAAGAAAAUCAAAUGUUAUAAUUAAAAAUCAAGAGGACCAAAAGCAUAGAUUAAAAAAAUAGAAGGACAAAAAUUAUAAUUUAACCUUUAAUUUUUAUUAUUUAUUUAAUAAAUCUCAUUAUUGAUUUUUAAACUUUUAAUGAAUUUAAAAUAGAAGGAAUAAAACUCUCUCUUAUUUAAGUUUUAAAAUUUAAAAUUAUAAAAAUAAGAAAAUAAUUUUUUUUAAAUUUCUUUGCUUUCCUUCUUAAUUAAAUAAAACAUUUAAUUAAAAUAUUUUUUUUCUCUCUUCAGUUUAGAUCACUCACAUUCCUUCCUGAAAUAUUCAUUCACCAAGAAACUCAAUAUAUUUUAUUUGGAUUUCCAAGACAAUUUUCUCUUGUUUGAAACGAUAAAAAUUUAAGGAAAGAAAACUCAACACAAAUCUCACCUCGAAAUGUUUUCCAGCUCCCCAUCAUGCCAAAAUAUCCUGACAGGUAGCGACUAAGGGCAUAUUGUGAGGAAAAUAGUUUCACGUGUUGGUUUCACCUCCACUCAAAAGAUAACUACAUAAAAUACAAGUUUUCUAUAAGAAUGAUUUAGUGAGAGAAUUUAAAGAUAAAGGGUGAAGGAGAAAAGAAGAAGAGAUUGUAAUGGUAAAUCUCUUAUCAACAUUUUUAAUAAAAACUAACAAAUGAACAUCUGUUGAUAAAAAAAUCAUAAACUACAAUUGUCUCUUGUAUUCUUUCUUAUUAUUAAAAGGAGAAGGAAAAAAAAUAAAAAAUAAAAACUCAUUUAUUUGUAAUUUCCUUUAUAACUAAUGAUGAAGGCUGAGAUGUACUCUAAGAGAUAGAAAGAGAACAUAGUGUAGAGAAAAGAUGAGAAAAUUAUAUACGAGUUAUUAUUCUUUCUUGAAAUAAAUUUAUAUUUAUAAUUUUUCCUGUUUCAUAAAAGUGAGCAUUACUUAUUUAGCUCUUUUAAAUGAUAUAUUUAUGUUUGACUGUGAAAUGUCUUGCUUAAACCAUCAAAGAUCAAAUAUGAAAGAUGAUCAAUUUGAAAGGAAAAAAACAUGAAAAAUAUUAAAGAAUUUAACUGAAUAACUUAAGAUGAUACAUAAAUUAUUGUGAACUCUCACAUUAUCUAUCUUAGAUUUAAAAAAAAACAAACCUGAAAAAACUAUAUUUUAAAAAAAUUCAAAGGGAUACAAGUCAAGAAAAAUGAUAUUACUAAGAUAUAGCAUUAGAAUUAUGAAAUUUUAAGUAUUACAUUACAAUUUAAAUCGUAUGUAUUGCUAACCAAAUUAACCUCAAAUGUCAUGCACCUAACCAAAUUAACCUUCUAUAAAUCUAUGUACAAACAUAAUUUUUCACUUAUCACCUCUCGACCAUAUUCUAACAGCACCUAACCUUCGAAAUCCACAUAUUUUGACUCUUUCAACGUCACCUUCUCCAUUUGAUUAUUCAAAUUUACCAUAUCAAUAACAACUCAACUCCCCUUCCCACCUCAAUUUUCAUAUUCCAUCUAAUGCAAAAUCAAUCAUAAUUUUGUGUCAAAGAUAUAAGGUGAAUUGAAUGAUUAAAGAAAAACUAAAGAGAAAAAAGUCACAAAUUUAAUCUCUUUUAUUAACAGUAGUAACAAUAAAUAUUUAUAUUUUAAAAAAACAUAGUUUUGUCUGGAAAAUGCCUAGUGAUGAACUGAUGAUGCACUCAAGUACUAAAUUGACAUACAUCAUUUCCUCUCCACGAUUGACACGUUGGUUUUCCGCUCCAAGGAAAAAAAGACUUGAAUGUAAUUAGAUUAUAUCUCUCUCCUUAAGUUGUAACAACAGUUACAACAUUUCCAUGGUUCCACCUAUUUCUUGAGGUGUGUGGAUUAUCUCCUGCCAUCUUGCCUCUCCAACAAGAAAAACAAAGAGAGGAGAGGGCAUAGAAUAGAAAAGAGAGAGAUAAGUUGAAAGAUAAAAAAAAAAACAAUAGAAAAGGAAGAGAAAGAUAGAGAUGUUGAAGAAGGUCGGAGAGGAUCUGAAUAUUUACUCAAGCUAAGCUUGUAGUAUCUAAUAACAUUAUUGUUUGUAUUUUAAAAAACUCAGGAUAUUUAUUUUUCAUAAAUUAAUAACUAAUUCUUUGAAGUAUUGAAAUGAUUUAAAAGACCAACCUUUUCUUAUAGAUUUUUUUUUACUCCUAAUAGAUAUCAAGAAUGACAAGGCUUAAUCAAAUUUGUUUGAUAAAUAAAAAUGAGAGACACAAGAACAACUUUAAAUAAUUUGAAACUAACAAAGUAUGACUGCAUUAAAAUAAUAAAAUGUAUACUAAAAAUAAUAAGAUAUAAUUUUGGCCAUAAAAUCAUGAAAACAAUAACUGAGUAUUGUAUUUUUAUAAUAUAUAAUAUAUAAUUAUAUAAAUAUGAGUAUUGUAAUUUUAUAACUAUGGACAAAGAUAUGCACUAUUUAUCUAUUGAUUUUCACAAACAAUAAAUAAAUAGUGCGUAUCUUUGUCCACAGUGAAGUUUUUCUUCUGUGUACUUUGAUUCCGGAGAAGAUGAGAAAAAGAAGAUUUUAAUUUGCUUUCUUGACUAUUCUUUGUCCCUGUAUGUUUGUGAUCCUAUGAGUCAUAUGGAUUGACAAUUCAUAUGAUUCAUACGGGUCAACAAUUCGUAUGAGUUUUAAAAAAAUUCAUACAGGUCACCAAUCCGUAUAACUUAUACAGAUCGUCAAUCCAUAUGAAUCAUACGGAUCACCAACUCCUUUCACCCGUGUUGCUGGAUGUUCCAACAAAAAUGUUGGGUGACCAAAACAACUACCUUUUUACUGGUUGGUACUUUUCCAGGGUCGCUAGCAACAUGUGAUGCAACUUGGACUGUUACUUUCUCCAUCUCCAACUAUUUCAUGUAGGCUCUGGCUAUUACACCUACGUAUUUCCUAAGUACACCCCUGUACCCCCUAUGCCUCUCAAUUACCCUUUAUACUCUUUUUCUUAAAAGCAUAUGUCCCUUUUGCUUUCAGAAAUGUAUUUAUGGAAUUACACAUUCAUAUUCUGGAAAUGUAUCUUCGAAACUAUGAUUCAUAGUUCCAAAGAUAUACUUCUAGAAUUGGUAUAUAUUUUUUUAAUAAAAUAUCAUUUAAGAAUUAAGAUGAUUGAUAAGAAAUUAAAAAAAUAUAAUAAAUAAUUAUCUUAUAUUCAUGUUUAUUAGUCUUAUUUUCAUCUCAUCAUUAAUGUUCUUUAAACCUUAAUCAUAAACUAUUGUCAUCGUAUAUUCAUUAUAUGAUAUAAUAUUUUUAUCAUUAUUUUAGAAUAUUUUAUGUUUUCCUUUAUGUGACACUAAAUUCCAACAUACGUUCACCACUAACUUCAUAUAGUAUACAUCUUUAUUACAAAGCAAGACUGUUGACGAUGAUUUUCUUUCUUUAAGUGUGUUCCUUCAUUUUAUAAUCAUAGUCUACGUCAAUGAUUCAGUGUCACGUGAAGUUAAUGAUGAACGUACCUUGAAACGCAUUUUCACAUGAAGUAAAACAUAAAAUAUUGUAUAAUAAAGAUUAAAAAAUAAUAUAAUAUAAAAAAUAUAUGGUGAAAAUAGUUUAAAAUUAGGAUUUAAAGAAUAAUAAAGAUAAGAUAAAAAUAACAUUUUAGAUAAGAUUUAAAGAACAUUAAUGAUAGGAUGAAAAUAAAACUAAUAAACAUGGACAUAAAUACGUUUAUAAUCUUUUUUAGUUUCUUGUCAACCAUCUUAAUUCUUAGGUGAUAUUUUAUUAAAAAAAUAUACAUAUUCUUGAAGUAUAUCUCUAAAACUAUGGAACUAUGAAUCAUAGGUCUGAGAAUAUAUUUUCAAAAUAGGUAUAUGUAAUUUCAGAAUUACAUUUCAAGAAAACCAAAGGGGUAUACUUCUUUAAGAAGAAGACAUAAUAAUUAAUUGAGGUAAAAAAGGAAAUAAGGGAUGUACUUAAAAAAUGAGGAUGUAAAUAGCAAGAACCUAUCAUUUUCAUAAUAUUAUUUUAUCUUUAGGAAGGAAAAAAAAAUUCUUGAAGUAUAAUUUUGCAUUUUGAAUUCAUCAUUUCAUUUACGCGGCCUGUGCCUACUUUUCUUUGUGGUGAGCUUUCGUUGGUCAAAAUUAAGCAGGGUGUGGUGUAACAAUAUUGUGUAUUAUAAAAAUUAACUUCCAUAGUGUUUUGAACUGAAUAAAUAUUAGAUCGUGAACAUGGUUUUUUUUAAUUAGUGAACUGAUAUUAUGACUUGUCUUUAUUUAUCUCUCUAAUCUAGCUUUGAUAUAGACUAACGUACUAGGAUUAAAAUACCCGUUAAUCGCAAUACUCUCUUCUAAUAAAAUUUUGCUUAUGGGAAGAAAAGAUAAAUUAUUAAAUUAAGAAACCUUAUUAUUUAAUUUUGAGUGAAGUGAAGAUGAAUGGAAUAGGAAAAGUCCACAACAACAAGAUGACAAAAUGGGAGGUAAAGAUCCCAUGCUGCUCGUUUUCUUUCUACUCAUAAUAUUUAGUAAAACAACAACAGCCACAGAAGAUGCAUGCAUGGUACGUGCAUGUGCAAAAAUAACUCAUACUUUACAUUAAACAGAUCGAUAUGUAAUCUAAUAUAUAGGUACGUGCAGCAUGUGAUGAAGAAUUGCCGGGGAUAUGGUUAAUCAUAUCAUCACCUUCUGAAGCUCCCAUUAUGAGCAGAAGGUGCCUUUGUUGCUAUCACUCUUCCUGCAUAGUAGUGUUGCGAUCAGGCAGCUUGAGCACAGUGUAGGCACCUGCCCCACAUAGAGAUCCAAGUAUUGGAGCUGUGAGAUAGAUCCAUAUGCCCUUGUAGUUGUGUGCAGCAAUUGCUGGACCCAGUGUUCUAGCCGGGUUCAUUGAACUCCCAGUUGCUGCCCUUUAAUUAGUAGUACAUGAUAAUAAUUAAUUAGGGGACCAUUUUUUUUAUAAAUAAAUAAAAAAGAUUGGAUUAUGCCAAGAAUAAUUCAAAUUAUCGAAACAACUGCUAAACGUUUGCGUAAUACUAUAUCAUUUAACGACGUCAUAUCUUAUGUUCCUAGUGAUGCUUGUUGUAAUAUGUUUUAUAUUUUCUUUUAUGGAUAACCUUGCCCCCGAGCAAUUAGCAUAUUUGAAUAAUAAGAUGGGACAUAUAUAUACCCCGCCAUGAGUAUGUUGAUCAUGACAGUGGCUCCCACCACGAUUCCCGCGAACAAUCGCACCUGCACCAUAAUGAUUCCCGGGAACUCUCGCACCUGCACCAUAAUAUAACACGUCAAAUUAAAUCAACAGCAUUAUAAUGAUACGAUUUAGCUGUUAUCAAUAAUCUAUAUACUAUAAUAUAACAUAUAUAUACUUACUAAUUUGUUACAUAUAUUAAUGCACCUGUAUUAUUGCUAUAUAUUGUUCAAUUAUUCAUCAUAACAAUAUGUUAUGUUUCAAACAAACUAUGUUUAAUUUUUAUGGGUUGCAAUUAACGGCAAAGUUCCAAAUCCCUUUUGUUGUUUAGCUCAUAAACACACCAAACUGUAUGUUCAUGUUUAAUAUCGCAAAUUAACGAACAAAAAUAUGCGGAGAUUUAUUUUCCAUUAAUAACCCUCGUCUUGGAUACGUACCGCCCUCCUCUUGUCUGGGUAGGUAGACUCUUGCAUAUUUCAUCAGCAAUGAGAACCAAUUUCUGGCUCAACUACGGAAACUUACUCCCUACGUGCAUGCCUAAAAUCUUUUAAAAAUAAUUUUAUUUAUAACUUGUUUUCUUUAUGGUCUAUUUUUGGUGCAUGCACGAAUAUCAUGAGCUUCGUGGAUCUAGGUGGCAGGGCAUGAGGGCCUCCCAUGUAUUGUCGUUGACUUGUGUCCUUUUAAAAUUGAAAUCAUGUAUUAAUCGAACAAAACUUAAUAAUGAUCUGAUAUGACACAAAAGCAUAUAAAAACCUAGAAAUACACCAAAACGUUCUUCAGAGUUUACAGUAUCACUUAUCUCCUUCAAAUUAACACUUGUUUGACGUAAUUAAUUAAGCUUUGUCGAUCUCAGAACAUCCUUUUCACAUACUUCAACUGAUUCGGCUUAGUUACUUAAUUAUCAGAUGAAGAAAGUAGUGGUUAGUAGAGUAAAAUACUCACAACUCUUGUGCCGUCGGCCACUGCAGUGACAACGAACAUAAGAGUAAAGCUGACCAUGAACUCUGCAGCGAAAGCUUGCCCAUAUCCCACAGAAGGGACCGUCACUCCACCGCUCAUGAAUGGAUGAAAAAUUAACUUCAGAGCAAAUGCAGCACUCACUGAUGCCAAAACUUGUGCACCAAUAUACACAGGCACCUACAAAUUAGUAAUUCAGAAAAACCUUUAAUAUAUAGUAAUCAGAAAAUAACAAAUACUACAAAGCUUAAUCAAUUAGGUGCAGUUACUUAAUCAACAUUAUCUGGAUUUUUAUUGAAAGACAUUACCAGAAAGACCACCUACAUAUGUAUGUCACUAUACUGUUAUUUAAUUUGUCCAAAAAAAUGAAGGAAAAUUAAUUAAUCAAGGCUUCAUUUUGAAUUACAUUCUUCCACGGCAUGUGCUUUAUUACAGCAAAGGAGAUGGUGACAGCGGGGUUGAGAUGAGCUCCGGAGAUGUGGCCUAUGGAGCAUAUGAUUAUCAUCACAGUAACUCCACUAAUUACUGCACAUCCCACCACUGAUCCUUGUGACUUCUCUUUUUCAAUUGCAGCGCCUAUUGCCGCAGACAUGAGAAGGGAACGUGCCCAGAAACUCUGCUCCAACCUGGUUUAAUUUAAAGUCAACUCAACAACAUUAAUUCACGCAUAUCAUUUUGCUGGAUAAAAAAACUUAGCUUAGUGUAAUUUUGAAUAUACCUUUCUUCCGAGACUAAUGUCCAUUUCUUUGUUGAUCUCUAAAUGGUAAGUAAACUGAAAUCAAGUAAAGGGUUGAUAGAUAAGACAAGAAAAACUAUAUUAGACUAAACAGGUAAAGAGAGAAAAAGAGAAAAAAAGAGAGAAAGUUAAUCCGCAGCAAUAAUAGCAAACAGUCAAAGGGACGCAAAGUUAUCAUCAGCAGCUUCAGAGUUUUGAUUGCCAAUUUUCUUAGUUAAUCCGCCGUUCACUGAGUUAUUAACAAAAUUUCUCGAAGUAUCACAAACAAUAGUCACCAAACCCCUAAAUCAGACACAAGAACAACCACAUUUGGCUAGCAAACAGAUAAACCCUCGAACAAUGCGUCUCUUAGCACAUGAGAAGUUGAACUUACAGUUUGAGAGUGAAACGAUCGGCGCAGUAAAAGUGAGAAAUGAGAAAGGCAAGCACUAGUUGAUUUGGGUGUGUGCGAGCGAGAGAAAAAUGAGCAGCUGUGUCGACGCUGUACAGGUUUAACGGAAAGCCUAUAUAUAGAUGUUGAAAAAAAUUAUAAAAACAGGGCAUGAGGGCCUCCUUCGUGUUUCAUGCACGUUUAUCAUGAGCUUGGUGGGUGGCAGGGCAUGAGGGCCUCCUUCGUGGUUCACGUUUAUCAUGAGCUUGGUGGAUCUAGUGUAAUAGCUUUCUUGAUUUGGAGAAAGUGUAUGAAAGUGGCAUGGGUUGUGCUUUGCUAGUUUCUAGCAUCAGCAGCUUUCAUUUCCCUUUUGUUUCAAACAAACUAUGUUUAAUUUUUAUGGGUUGCAAUUAACCGGCAAGGUUCCAAAUCCCUUCUGUUGUUUAGCUCAUAAACACACCAAACUGUAUGUUCAUGUUUAAUAUCGCAAAUUAACGAACAAAAUUAUGUGGAGAUUUAUUUUCCAUUAAUGAAGAAGGGUUCUCUAGCAAUAGACCAGAAGAUAGAGCAUUCAAUUUAUGUCAUGAAUUAUGCGAUUUGAGUUCUGAAAAUCACCCUGGAAUCCGCCUUACUUUGAUGCUGAAAAUAUAAAGAAAAUAGGCCUCAGUGCCCGUUGCACCAGUGGGAAUUUGAUAUGUAUAGCACCUUUGAUUGACUGAUUGCACCCCAAGUAAUAAUAAAUUAAUAGAAAAAGUAUAUUCCACCUUACUUUCAUAUCCAAAUAUUUAUUUUAAACUUUAUUAUAUUUUUAGUUCAUUAAAUUAAAAGGUAUAUUGCACCCCAAGUAAUAAUAACUUUAUAGAAAAAAUAUAUUCCACCUUACUUUCAUAUCCAAAUAUUUAUUUUAAACUUUAUUAUAUUUUUAGUUCAUUAAAUUAAAAGGUAUAUGUCCUUCAAAUAAAAAUUUAUAUUUUUUUAGUUCCUUAAAUUUAUAAUAAAAUACUUUUUUAGUCUUUUCAAAUUGAGUUUUUUUAUAGUUUAGAUACAUAAUUUGUGGAGUUUUUUUUAAUAGAAGGACUAAUCAAACAUUUUGUAAAAUUGGGUGAAUAAAAAAUAUAAAUUUUUAUCUGAAAACUUGAAAAAGAUACCUCAAAGGAUUAAAAAAUAUAUUAAAAUUUUUAUUUUAAUACCAAAAGCAAAAUCCUUGUACUAUGAUUGCUAGUUCGUUAUAAAAUUAAAAUAUAAAACGGUAUUACAUUUGUAUUUUAAAAUAAAACGUGAUCCCUAAGGAAUUGAUAUUAUUAAUUGACAAUUAUUGUGUACUUUUGGUUUUUUCACGUUAAUCCCAGUGAUGAAGAAUGAGAUAUACUCUAAGAAAAAGAGAAUAGGUUGUAGAGAAAAAAAGAGAAGAUUAUAUUUCUUCAAAUAAAUUUUUAUAUUUAUAAUUUUUUCCUCUUUUAUAAAAGUUAACAUUGCUUUUUUUAUCUCUUUUAAAUGAGAUAUUUAUAUUUACUUGCGAAAAGUUUUGCUUAAAAUCUCAAAGAUCAAUUAUGAAAGAUGACUGAUUUAAAAAAAAAACAUAAAAAAUAUUAAAGAGUUUAACUCAAUUAUUUAAGGGUGAUACAUACGUUAUUGUAAACUCUCACAUUAUUUAUGUUUGAUGUGAUAAAAACAAACAUGAAAAAAAAAACUAUAUUUAUAGUAUCGAUCAUGUUGUACUUAGACAAAGGUCUUUGGUGCCAAACUUUAUCUUAUGUUGCUGCAUGGUGAUACUUUGUCAGCGCUGUAUAUUAUGUCUUUUUGCGUAAGGUUCUUUCCCGCAAUGUUUAUACUCUAGAUUUUUUUUAAGAUACUACUUGGUUGGCACCUGUCUUACACUUUAUCGCACAUAUUAAACAGUAUUAUUAAACUGCAUCAUAACACUGAACCUUUAAUAUUGAAUAUUAAUAAUAAAUAAUAAAAAUAUGACAUGUAAAGGUGACAAGCAAAAACUAAUAUACUUGUAGCAUUUCUAUUCUUGCAAAAUUAUGUUGAACGACUAAUUAAUUAAAAUGAUUUUAUGGAAAAUUUCACAUGUUUAGUUAACCAAAAUCAAUUUUGGCAUCUCUUGUCCAAACACAUACUUACUCCUCUCUCAGGAAAUAAAUUAAAUGCCUCAAUUUCUUUUAAGCGAAACUGUUAUUUAUGAUCACAAAUGUAUUGUUAAGUAGAUAGCUAAUUAGAAUUAGGUGACAUUGAAUUUGACAUGACACAUGAUGUUAGAUAAGUUAUUAUAAUGAUAAAACUAGACUAUUAUAUAUUUUGUCAUGUUACUUGUAUCACAUCUUCACAUAAAACAUUGGCAUAAAUCAGGGAAUGAUUAAUUUCUACUUUCUUUUAAGUACCAAGAAAAGUUUACAGUGAUGUAAUCCUGAAAUGGUAUGAGAAAUGUGAGGUGUUUCUCGAAAUUCUUAUAACCUUUUCCUUUCUAGAGGGUUGGAUCCAACCUCAUUUUAUUGUUGAUUGUCACAACAGCUAACACAAAGUGUUGUACACAAACAAAUGAGGCCACAUGAUUGGCUUGCAUUGCCGAAACACAUGUUGUGAUACCUAGCUAACAAAGAAUUCCUUUACAUUUGAUGGAUAACUAAUAACAUAAUAACUUUUGAGAUUGUUUAACUCUUUUGUUUGUGCUCACGUUGGUUUGGAAUCAAAUGCUUGACAAAAAAGUAUAAUGACAAGAAAAGGAUAAUAAAAAUGGUUUAAGAGAAAUGUGUUUAGUUUAAGAGGAAUGAAUAAAUAAAUAAAAAUGGUUUAUUCAAUUAAAAUAAUUUAUUUUCAAAAUGUAAAGAUCGAUUAUAAAAAAUGUAUAAUCAAUUUUUCACAAAAAAAACUGUAUAAACAAUUGUAGGACAUGAAAAUCAAUUUUCAAGUUUUCAAAAUCGAUUUUCAUAUGAGUGUUUACUGAUAUGGUUGGAGGUAUAUAAUUAAAUUAAAGUAUAAUGGGAUAAUUAAGUACUAGCUUUCUCUUAAAAUUAUCUGUUUCUGUACUAUUGUGUUUACUAAGUCUAAUUUACCUAUAAAUCCAUUUAGAAGAUCUUCUUGCUUAUAUUUUCAGUAUGAAUCAAUAUAAUAAAAGUAAUAAGAAUUUAAGAAUUUAUCCAUUUGCAACCUAUCAUAUAACAUGAGAACAUCUAGCGAUAACUCAAACAUAACUACUUAUUUUCACGACAAUACAAAUCACACCACCAUGUACUUCAAGGAAGUGUAAAUCUGAAUAUGACAGAAGAGAUAUAAGUAAACACGUGCCUAUGACUCAUUUGUAAUCAUAUUGCUACAUACUAUAACAUGUCUAAGAUCUAAUGCGGAGUGGAGAAAGUUAGGCCAAAAGUAAAGACAAAGUAGCUUCAAUAAUGUUAUUUCAAAUGAGUUGAUGAGAGUGGCUUUUGGACAAGUCAUAGCAUAUUUGAUUUGAAUUAUGUCCAAUUCUACGGUGAUAAUCAACUGUGGUUUGGAUCUGUGCUGAAUUUAUUCAUCAUAGGAUACAAAUAAACAACAAUAAGUUAUAUGCAAGAAUUUCUAUCUGGAUUUGUUAAUGAUUUCCAAUCAAACUAUUAUGUCAAGGACUAAAGGCUACCACUGCAAAAGCAUUAAAAAAUAAAAAAAAAUUCUAUGUUGCAUACUUUUUCUAAAAGCAAAUUCUGUCAGCCUUUUUUUUUUUUUUCUCUAGAAUGCGUUAGCAGUGUUUUUUUUUAUUAAAACAACAACAACAGCCACAGAAGAUGCAUGCGUGAUAAGUGCAUGUGCAAAAAUCACUCAUUCUGGGUAAAGUCUUGCUAUCACUCUUGCAGUGUUGCGAUCACUCUUCCUGAUGUGAUCAGGCAGCUUGAGCACAGUGUAGGCACCUGCCCCACAUAGAGAUCUUGUAGUUGUGUGCAGCAAUUGCUGGACCCAGUGUUCUAGCAGGGUUCAUUGAACUCCCAGUUGCUGCCCUUUAAUCAGUAGUACAUGAUAAUAAUUAAUUAGGGGACCAUUUUUUUAUAAAUAAAUAAAAAAAAGAUUGGAUUAUUCCAAUAAUAAUCCAAAUUAUCGGAACAACUGCUAAACGUUUGCGUAAUACUAUAUUAUUUAACGACUUCAUAUAUUAUGUUCCUAGUGAUGCUUGUUGUGAUAUGUUUAUAAUUUCUUUUAUGGAUAACCUGGCCCGCGAGCAAUUAGCAUAUUUGAAUAACGAUACGAUUUAUCUGUUAUCAAUAAUCUAUAUACUAUAAUAUAGCAUAUAUAUACUUACUAAUUUGUUACAUAUAUUAAUGCACCUGUGUUAUUGCUAUAUAUUGUUCAAUUAUUCAUCAUAACAAUAUGUUUUUUAAAAUCUUUUUGAUUAACUCACGUUUUUAAAAAAAAGUUAAUUAAUUACACUAUCAUUCUAAAAUUAUAUUUUCCUUAUCUCUUAAUCUAUUUCAUUACUUUAGAAAGAUAAUAAUUGAAUAAAGAUAUACAAUAUAGGAAAAAAAAUUAAUAUUCUAGAAAUUAAAAAAAAUUAUAAAAAAACAAACAAAUUUUUAAAAAUAAUUUUAUUUAUAACUUUUUUCUUUAAAUGAAUGCUCCGUUUUCUUUAUGGUCUAUUCUUGGUUCAUGCACGAAUAUCAUGAGCUUCGUGGAUCUAGGUGGCAGGGCAUGAGGGCCUCCUCCUAUGUAUUGUCGUUUACUUGUGUCCUUUUAAAAUUGAAAUCAUGUAUUAUUAAUCGAACAAAACUUAUCAUCUGAUAUGACACAAAAGCAUAUAAAAACCUAGAAAUAGACCAAAACGUUCUUCAGAGUUUACAGUAUCACUUAUCUCCUUCAAAUUAACACUUGUUUGACGUAAUUAAUUAAGCUUUGUCGAUCUCAGAACAUGGUUUUUACAUACUUCAACUGAUUCCGCUUAGUUACUUAAUUAUCAGAUGAAGAAAGUAGUGGUUAGUAGAGUAAAAUACUCAGUUCUUGUGCCGUUGGUCACUGCAGUGACAACGAACAUAAAAAUAAAGCUGACAAUGAACUCAUGUGAUUAGUUUAUUUUUUUAAUUUGAAAUUAAGAUGUUAAAAUAUAGGAAAUUAAGGUAUCCUAUGAAGUGGGAUUUGGUUGGUUUAUAUGCAUCAUGUGAUUAGUUUACACUGAUGACUGGUUGCAGUGUAGUGUAGUAGCGUGAACAUUAUUAGAUGAAGAUAGUGUAGUAGCAUGAGUAUUAUUGGAUGAAGAUAACAUAAUGCAAAAGAGAGAGAAAGAAAAGUUGCAAGUUGGUGACUGGUGCUACUCUGGAAUAGCUUUCUUCAUUUGGAGAAAGUGUAUGGAAGUGACAUGGAUUGUGCUUUGCUAGUUUCUAGCAUCAGCAGCUUUCAUUUCCCUUUUGUUUCAAACAAACUAUGUUUAAUUUUUAUGGGUUGCAAUUAACCGGCAAGGUUCCAAAUCCCUUCUGUUGUUUAGCUCAUAAACACACCAAACUGUAUGUUCAUGUUUAAUAUCGCAAAUUAACGAACAAAAAUAUGAGGAGAUUUAUUUUCCAUUAAUGAAGAAGGGUUUUCUAGCAAUAGACCAGAAGAUAGAGCAUUCAAUUUAUGUCAUGAAUUAUGGGAUUUGAGUUCUGGAAAUCACCCUGGAAUCCGCCUUACUUUGAUGCUGAAAAUAUAAAGAAAAUAGGUUGCAGUGAGAACCAUUUUUGGAUUUUUUUUAUUCAAGUGGUACGUACCGCCCUCCUCUUGUCUGGGUAGGUAGACUCUUGCAUAUUUCAUCAGCAAUGAGAACCAAUUUCAGGCUCAACUACGGAAACUUACUCCCUACGUGCAUGCCUAAAAAAAAGUUAAUUAAUUACAUUAUCAUUCUAAAAUUAUAUUUUCCUUAUCUCUCAAUCUAUUUCAUUACUUUAGAAAGAUAAUAAUUGAAUAAAGAUAUACAAUAUAGGAAAAAAAUUAUAAAAAAACAAACAAAUUUUUAAAAAUAAUUUUAUUUAUAACUUGUUUUCUUUAAAUGAAUGCUCCGUUUUCUUUAUGGUCUAUUUUUGGUGCAUGCACGAAUAUAUCAGCUUCUUGGAUCUAGGUGACAGGGCAUGAGGGCCUCCUAUAUAUUGUCGUUGACUUGUGUACUUUUAAAAUGGAAAUCAUGUAUUAAUCGAACAAAACUUAUCAUCUGAUAUGACACAAAAGCAUAUAAAAACCUAGAAAUAGACCAAAACGUUCUUCAGAGUUUACAGUAUCACUUAUCUCCUUCAAAUUAACACUUGUUUGACGUAAUUAAGUAAGCUUUGUCGGUCUCAGAACAUCGUUUUCGCAUACUUCAACUGAUUCGGCUUAGUUACUUAAUUAUCAGAUGAAGAAAGUAGUGGUUAGUAGAAUAAAAUACUCACAACUCUUGUGCGGGUGGCCACUACAGUGACAACGAACAUAAGCAUAAAGCUGACAAUGAACUCUAUAGCGAAAGCUUGCCCAUAUCCCAUUGAAGGGACCGUCACUCCACCGCUCAUGUACGGAUGAAAAAGCGCCUUCAGAGCAAAUGCAGCACUCACUGAUGCCAAAACUUGUGCACCAAUAUACACAGGCACCUACAAAUUAAUAAUUCAGAAAAACCUUUAAUAUAUAGUAAUCAAUGCAAGAAAAUAACAAAUACUACAAAACUUAAUUAAUUAGGUGCAGUUACUUAAUCAAAAUUAUCUGGAUUUUUAUUGAAAGACAUUACCAGAAAGACCACCUACACAUGUAUGUUACUAUACUGUUAUUUAAUUUGUCCAAAAAAAUGAAGGGAAAUUAAUUAAUAAAUUAACACUUAAUUUUGAAUUACAUUCUUUCCAGGGAAGUGCUUUAAUGCAGCAAAGGAAAUGGUGACAGUGGGGUUGAGAUGAGUCUCAGAGAUGUUUCCUGUGGAGAAUAUGAUGAUCAUGACAACAAAUCCACGUAUCUUUACAUUCUCAAUUGCAGAAGAACUGAUGAGUAGGUGGAAACUGAUGAGUUAGGCACAAAGGAAAAGAAGAACUAACUUGUAUGUGGAAGUGGAGUGUGACAAUACAAUAUGGGAUUUGUUAGCGGCCCAUAAUGGGUCAAUCAAUAUGUUUUCCUCCUCUCUUAAGGGAAAAGAUAAACACGAGUGGAAAAAUACAUGAAUGGUUGAAACUGAUGGCAGUUAGGUACAAAGAAAAGAAAAAAGAGGUAGCUGUUUACUUAUGAGGACGUGUUUUGUGUGGGAAAAUACACGGGUUUAGGAAAUUGAUGACAGUUAGGUACAAAGAAAAAGAGGAGGUAGUUAUUUACUUGUACGUGGAAGUAGAGUGUGACAAAUGCAAUAUGGGAUUUGAAAAAGCGGCCCUUAACGUCAGACAUCAAUCAUUAUAUGUACCAUUCAAUGUGCCUUCUGUUAUUUUUUCUAAUCCAUCUUGGCCAUGUUAUUGGAGUCCAAGUGCGAGUAACAAGUCAAACAUUGGAAAAAAAUAAACACAAUAUUGAUCAACAUAUAAGUGAAAAUGACUUACAAACCGUAUGCAUUAUGGCUUUAGAUUAGACGUGGUGUCAAGUUGAUUCAUGUAAUUUUCUUGUGGCUCAUCUAUAGAUAUCUCAAUGUUAUUUUAAUCAUUGUAUUCCCAAACAAAGGGCAUCGAGACAAAUGGUGCCCUCAUGGAGGAACUUUGUUUAUGAAGAAUUUCAAUGUUUUUCUUUUAUUAGCGGAUAUAAAUUUGUAACUUGUUUGAAAUUUAUUAAUCAAUCACUUUUAAUAAAAGAAAUGAAAUGUAAAUCUGAGUUUGAAUUUGUGAGAUUAGAGUGUUAGCUUUUCAAUGUAAAAGAGAUUAAAUAAUAAUAUGGUAAGACAUGUUUUUGUUCUCUAUAAAACUUCUGAAGUUUACUUUUAGUCUAUUAAAAAAAAUUGGUUUAUUUUUUGUCCUUCUAAUUAUAUAAUGUAUCAUUUUUAUCCCCUCAAGUAUUAUUUAAACCACUUUUCGUCUCUCUAUAAAGUACUAUCUAAGCCACAUUAAAGAUAAAAAGUGGUGCGUUUCAAUAUUAGAAAGACAAAAAAAUGGACAAAUUUUUAGAAGGACUAAAACCAAACAUUAGAAAUUUGUGAGAUCAAAGACAUACUCUACAAAAAGAUAAAUCACAAAGUGGCAAGGGUCAAAUAAAAAAUAUAAAACUUUUAUUUCAGGUGAAUUUUACCCAUAGUUUACCUUCUAUUUAAAUGUUUGUGCUAUUUAAAUUUUUCUUUGAACCAAACUAUAUGGCUGUCGAAACAAUUAUGGUAAUGCAAUAGUUAAGAGUAGUUAGUUACAUAAUAAUUAAUUACAAGUCAUCUGGUAUGAUUUAUAAAAUAAUCAUUAUAAAAAUCAAUAAAUUUAUAAUAUAAUAUGAGGUUUAUGAUUGAGUAAUAAUGUAAAAAAAAUUAUUUUAUCCGUAUAUAUACUAUUUACUCUAUUUUGUGUUCAUUUCUUUUAUUUCUUUCUAUUAUUUUUAGGGUCUUAUUUUUCUAUUUUAAAAUGUAAAUAAUAACUUUUCUUAUUUAUACUAUAUAGUAUGAAUAUCCAAAUAGUAGAACAGAGACUGUAAUAUAUGUUUUAUCUUAUUUUAUUUUAUUUUCAUUUUAUUUCAACUUAAGUUCCACAUAUAUGAUUUAUAUUAACAUGCAUGCCAUUAGUUUGAGUACUGAAACUAAAUUCAUAUCGUUUAAUUAAGAUGUUAAAUUUGAAUCUUGUAAAUAAAUAAAAAUUUGAUUGAGAGAAGAAAUUUUCCUUUUUUAUAUAUAAAAGAAAAAUUCUUACUAAAGUGAUUUGAUCUAAAUUGUAUUGUAAAACAUAUAUGAUUGAGAGAAAACUAGCUACAUUUUGCAAUAGAAAUUAGGCAUUUUAGAAAGUAAAUAUUUACAUCAGUAAGAGGGAAAAAAACUUCAUGCCUAUAUUAUUUAUUAGAUUCAUUAGUUAGCUGGAGGAGUAGUUAAGUCACCCUCAACUUUAUUCAAAUUAAUUUCCUAUAGAUCAUUGGACUUGCAGUGUUAAUGAUCUGAUUUGACGUCAACAUAAUUUAAAUUGAUCCGGUGCAGGUGAUGAUUUGGUCUGAAUUGUAUUAUUAUUCAAUUGCGUUCUUUCCGAAAAUAAUUUCAUAAACUUUUCAUAUCAUUAAAAUUGAUGCACAUUUGCUUUUUUAUUCUAAUUGCACAUUUGGUUUAUUCAUACAUGGUUAAGAAAUUUCAUUGUUAGGUGGUUAAGGGUAGUUAGUUACAUAAUUGGUCAAGUGAUUAGGUUAAAUGGAUGGACAAGAGUGGAAGGAGAUUUCAUUCUCAAUAGUUAGUAUUAAGAAAACUGAGCAUUAUCUCAAUUGUAGAAUGGGAAACCCCUGGACGGAGUAUUAACAUCAUAUUUGCCGUGUUGUGAUCUGAAUCUAUAUGCAUUUCUUCCUUAAUACUUCCUAAUUUAUCUUUCCUUUCUUUUGUCACUUCACAUAGAGGAUGAAAUUGAUGAUAUCCAGAAGGUAUAAAUCUUGUAAAUUACAUGUACUUGAUAUUUGUUGUACCCAAAUUUUUACAUUUUUAUUCUGUUCAAUAUUUUCAGGAAAUUUCUGUUCUGUCCCAAUGUCGAUGUCCAUACAUUACUGAAUAUUAUGGUUCCUAUCUCAAUCAAACUAAACUUUGGAUAAUAAUGGAAUACAUGGCUGGUGGCUCAGUUGUUGAUCUAGUAGGCAAAGGCUGCUCGUGACAGAAAUUCAAAUGCCUCAAUUAACCGAUGUAGAAUGUAACUUCUCUAGUAGUGACACAUUAAUUAAACAUAUUUGUUUAAAAAGUAAAUUACACUAAUCGUUCCUAAAAUUUUGUGAAAUUACAUAAAUUUUCUCUACUUGUAUGUACUCCUACACUAAACCCUUAAUUUUAUGAAAAUAUAUAUCAAUACACCUUAUACAUUACAUUAACCGCCCUUAAUUGCUUGAAAAACAUUACGCCAUCCUCCCCUACAAGGGAGGUUUUUGUAAAUAUUAAAAAUUGAGAAAAACUUUAUGUACACCAAAUCUCAUGGAAUGCUAAUUACUGUAUUUUACUAUAGUUUAAAAUUAUAGUUAAAUAUUUAUGGAGUGUGUGCUAACUUGUCUUAAGGAAUUUGUGUACAAACAAAACUUGUUCCUUAAUUUUAAACUUUGGAGGUCAUUUUCAAAGUGUACGCAUAUAAAAAAAGUAUUAAAAAAAUUAUAGAAAGAUAAUAAUUGUAUAUAAUAAAAUAGAUUAUAUUAAUUAUUUCGUAUUCAAAAAGAAUUAUUUGUUUGAUCAUUUUUUUAUUGCUGACAUUUAAGAGUGAAUUAAAGUAAGAAAACUUUCAAUUUGUAACCCGUGUUUAAGACUGGUGCAUAUUGUACUACCAACUAUAGACCUGGUCUGAUACCACAUUUACUAUUGGUAGAGCGUAAAUCAAGGUUAUAACUUAGUGGAUUAGCAUAAAAUUUGUCAAAAAUAGGUCAUAUAAGCUAACCAUAUACACAAUGUGGCCUUUACAUUCCCUCUCUCCCUUUCUUAUUUUAGAAAAUAUGAUUUUUAACGUUUUAACAAACCACAAAUUGCAUUUGAAUGAUUCAAUUGUAUUAGCUGUUCAAUACCAUUUUUUGUAUGCAUAAAUAACACUUUACAUUGCAUCCCUAAACUACAAAAACGUAUUCUUUGAGGGAAUUUGACAAAAAAGUAGCCACUGCCCCAACGAUCCCAUUUCCCUUGACUUCUCUACGUGAAGCUCCUUGUUUUGCAUAGUAUGUGCAUAAAUUAAUAUACAAGUUAAUUUGAGGAAUACAAUAUAUUUAUAUGUUAUGUAAAUGUGACUUUCUUAUUAUUAGAUUUUGAUCUUUAAAAAAAUUAAUUUUGUUUAUUUCGAUCUUCAACAAAAUCAUUAUAUUUCAAAUAGUGUCUAUAGUUACUUGAUGAUGAUGUUAAAUGCAUUUAGUUAUACCGUGUUACAUGUCACAUCAAAAUGGUUGGUGGUGCGACAUGAGUAGCUGCAUGACAUUUUAUAACCAAGCGCAUUAUAUGAAGUUUUUUUCAACAAUUGUAGAGAUAAAAACAAAAGAAAAAAGAAUCAAAAUCAAACAAGCCAUGUUUAGAGUUUAAAAACAUGCCCAUUCUUAAAUAGUGUAUAGGAAUAUUAUGGUCAUAUUACUUGUCACAUUAACUAAUUUUACAGUAAUACUCAUUAAUGACAGGGAGCUAGUUGAAAUGUCCGAGGGAAAUGCAGGGAAAGGAAAGAAAAUCGCCAUCAUUGGUGUCUCAACCUUAUUGUUGGUGGCUAUGGUUGUGGCGGUCACAAUUGGGGUCAAUCUCAAUGAGAAUGGUUCCAACAAUGAUAUAGAGGACAACAAGAAAGAUCAUGUUGCUUCUUCCAUAAAAGCCGUCCAAACCCUUUGUCAUCCCACAAAUUAUGAGAAAGAAUGCGAGGAAAGCCUUAUAGCUGGGGCUGGAAAUACCACAGAUCCAAAAGAACUUAUCAAAAUUUUCUUCAACAUCACCAUUACAAAAAUUGGUGAUAAACUCAAAGAAACUAAUAUUUUGCAUGAGGUUGAGGAGGAACCCAGAGCCAAGAUGGCACUUGACACUUGCAAGCAACUCAUGGAUCUUUCUAUUGGGGAAUUAACAAGGUCACUUGAUGGAAUAAAUGAGUUUAACCUCAUAAAUGUUGACAAAAUCCUCAUGAAUUUAAAAGUUUGGCUUAGUGGUGCGGUUACAUACCAAGAUACUUGCUUGGAUGGGUUUGAGAACACCACUAGUGAUGCUGGCAAAAAGAUGAAGGAUUUGUUGACGAUAGGCAUGCAUAUGAGCAGCAAUGCCCUUGCCAUUGUAACAGAUUUGGCUGACACUGUUAACGAUUGGAAUAUCACAAAAUCAUUUGGGCGUCGCCUCCUUCAAGAUUCUGAGCUUCCGUCAUGGGUUGAUCAACAUAGACUCCUUAAUGAAAAUGCAAGUCCAUUAAAACGCAAGCCUAAUGUUACUGUAGCCAUAGAUGGUAGUGGAGAUUUCAAAAGCAUCAAUGAGGCAUUGAAGCAAGUGCCGGAGAAAAACCGAAAGCCAUUUGUGAUCUACAUCAAGGAAGGCGUUUACCAAGAGUAUGUUGAAGUUACAAAAAAAAUGACCCAUGUGGUGUUUAUUGGUGAAGGGGGGAAAAAGACACGAAUAUCUGGUAACAAAAACUUCAUAGAUGGAACGAACACUUAUAGAACUGCCACUGUCGGUAUGUCUCUUUUCGUGAUUAUCAACUUAAUUAACUUACUACUCCUAUGCAUUUGAGUAAAAAAAAAAACUUAAUAACUUAUCCAAUAAAUUUAUUAAAUGAAACCUUAUUCAUGACUCAGACUGUGAAGCUUACCAAAAUGAGAUUAAAAAAAACUAAAUUUAUUACUCAUGUGCAUUUGGGUAAAAAAAACAUAAUUAAAAACUUAUUCAAUAAAUUUAUUAAAUGAAACCUUAUUCUUGAGUCAAACUUUGAAGCUUACUAAAAUGAGAUUAAAAAAACUAAAUUUGAUAAGUUUCUCCAUAAAACUCUUAAGUUUAUAAAAAUAUCAUAUGUCAUGUUCUUCAACUUGAAUAAACUCUUUGAAAAGUCCUUUCCUUACUUAACAUUUUAAGGUCCAUAGUUUUUAUUUGAAAACACCUUUAACCCGCCCCAAAAUGAAUAAAUUAAUAAAAGAUACAUUUACAAAAUUUAAAAAAUAAAAAUAUAAACCAUUUUCAAUUCAAGGGAAAUUUUUCAUUCGAAUAAAUAAAUUAACUACUUUACGCAUGCAGCUAUUCAAGGAGAUCACUUUGUGGCCAUCAAUAUGGGGUUUGAGAAUUCUGCUGGACCUCAUAAGCAUCAAGCGGUGGCAUUGAGAGUCCAAGCAGACAAGUCCAUCUUUUACAAUUGCUCAAUGGAUGGGUAUCAAGACACACUUUAUGCACACACCAUGCGUCAAUUCUAUAGAGAUUGCACCAUUUCAGGUACCAUCGACUUUGUGUUCGGUAAUGCACUAGCUGUUUUUCAAAAUUGCACUUUCGUGGUCCGAAAGCCAAUGGAGAACCAACAAUGCAUUGUGACUGCACAAGGUAGAAAAGAGAUACAACAACCAUCUGGAAUAGUAAUCCAAGGGGGAUCCAUUGUGUCUGAUCCUGAAUUCUACUCAGUGAGAUUUGAGAACAAGGCUUACCUAGCUCGUCCAUGGAAGAAUUACUCUAGGACCAUUAUCAUGGACACAUACAUUGAUGAUUUGAUUGACGCGGAUGGGUAUUUGCCAUGGCAAGGACUAGAGGGUCCUUCUGGUAUGGAUACUUGCUUCUAUGCCGAGUACCACAACAUUGGCCCUGGUUCAGACAAAUCCAAGCGUGUGAAAUGGGCUGGGAUUUGGAACCUCAAUUCAAAAGCAGCACGUUGGUUCUCACCAUCUAAGUUUUUUCAUGGAACUGAUUGGAUUGAGGUUACUGGAAUUCCUUACUUUCCUGGCGUGCCGAAACACCAUAGGCACAAAAAGACAAUACUUAAUUGGCAAUAAAAGUAAUGAGUUGCGAAAGCAAGCAAUAUAAAUUAAUUAAAAAGUAAUGAUUGUGCUUCUUUAUUCUUUAAUUAUUUUUAUUUCAUUACUUAACUUUAGAGUUAGCUACAUUUUUUUAUCUCAAGGAAUUGAAAUCAAUGUAACACAAUUCCUCUCUUGAUAACUUUUUGUUUAGUGGAUAAUAAAUGGGUCUUCUAUAUAUUCUUCAUUACAUUUGCAUCUAAUUUGAUUUUUACGUAAGUAAAGUGAUUUGUUGCUAUGUACUUUUAAUUGUUACAUUGUUGGCCUUUUCUUUUUCACCUUCAUUUAUCAAAAUAAAAUUAUGAUGAAGCAUUUACAUAUUGGUGAAUUUAAUCAACACGACUACUUAAAUUUAACUCAUUGAAUGUGCUGUUUAAGUUUUAUUAAUCUUGUCACAAGUCUUUAUUGUAUUCUAUAUAGAUAAAAAAAUAAGUAAAAAAAAUGACAUGGAUAAAAAAUAAUAUUUCAAACAAAUAAUUAAUGAGAUUUUAUUAUAAAUGAAGUAUAUCCGUAUCAAAGCCACUAGAUUUGAACCUUAGUGUGAUCAUUGUACAUAAAAAAAAAAAUAUCAAUGUGUCAUAUUAUUUUAUGACAACAUUGUUUGUGCAAGCUACAUUAUUAUUAAGAAAUUAUAUAUAUAUAUAUAUAUAUAUAUAUAUAUAUAUAUAUAUAUAUAUAUAUAUAUAUAUAUAUAUAUAGGUUUCAAGGACAUUAAGCUUAAGCUUACCUACAUCUAUAAAACAUUUUCCUCUUGACUUGUCCAUCAAUACAAUUUAAAUUUUUAUUAAUUUAACCAAUAAAAAAAUACAUUAAAAAGGUAUUUCUAGCACUACUCUUAAAUACAAUGACAAGGAAAGAAACCAAGUUACUCAAGUUGUUAUUCGCUAGGUAGGUAAUAUUACAUCCCAUUUAGAAGAGAAAUUUUAGCUAAGAUAUUGUUAAUACUAUUAUUAACUGAAAUUUUUUAGAAAUUAUAAAAUUAUUUAAUUUUUGUUAAAUUACAAUUUUUCUUACCUUCAUUUUCCAAAUUCAUGAUUUUGGUCUUCCUGAUUUUUAAUUUUAAAAUUUGAUCUUCCAAAUUUUGUAAAUUUAUAAUUUUGGUCAUCCUUAUAGAAUAUUAAACUAAUAAUUAUGAUUAACAGAUUUAUUAAAUUAACUAUAAAUUAAAUAAAAAUUAUUAAUCAUUAAAAAAUUUUAACAAAUGAUUAUUAACUCUAAUGUGAUAUUGUUGCUAGUGGAUUCCUAUGUGAUGAUAGAGGUGAAAUAAGUAUACACCGUGUUGUGAAGGAUCAAGGUUAAUAAUUUUUAUUAAAAUUUUAAUAAUUAAUGGGUUUUAAUUAAUUUAUAAUUAAAUUAAUAACAGUUUAAUCAAAAUUAUUUAUUAAUAAUCUAUCUGUGGAACCAAAAUCAUCAAUUUAUAAAAAUAAAAAAACUAAAUGUUAUAAUUAAAAAUCAAGACGACCAAAAGCAUAGAUUUAAAAAAUAGAAGAAGAACAAAAAUUAUAAUUUAACCUUUAAUUUUUAUUAUUUAUUUAAUAAAUCUCAUUAUUGAUUUUUAAACUUUUAAUGAAUUUAAAAUAGAAGGACUAAAACUCUCUCUUAUUUAAGUUUUAAAAUUUAAAAUUAUAAAAAUAAGAAAAUAAAUAAUUUUUAAAAAUUUCUUUCCUUUCCUGCUUAAUUAAAUAAAGCAUUUAAUUAAAAUCUCUUUUCUCUCUUCGAUUUAGAUCGCUCACAUUCCUUCCUGAAAUCAUUGUUUCGGUUUUAUUUCUUCUUAAUAUGAAUUAGUAACCAUGCGGCCAAAACCUCAUAAAUUAUAUCAUUCACCAAGAAACUCAAUAUAUUUUAUUUGGAUUUUCAAGAUAAUUUUCUCUUGUUUGAAACGGUAAAAAUUUAAAGAAAGAAAACUCAACACAAAUCUCACCUCUAAAUGUUUUCCAGCCCCCCACCAUGCCAAAAUAUCCUGGCAGGCAGUGGCUAGGGGCAUAUUUUGAGGAAAAUAGUUUAUCGUGCUGGUUUCACCUCCUCUCAAAAGAUAACUACAUAAAAUACAAGUUUUCUAUAAGAAUGGUUUAGUGAGAGAAUUUAAGGAUAAAGGGUGAAGGAGAAAAGAAGAAGAGAUUGUAAUGGUAAAUCUCUUAUCAACAUUUUUAACAAAAACUAACAAAUGAACAUCUGUUCAUAAAAAAAUCAUAAACUACACUUGUCUCUUGUAUUCUUUCUUAUUAUUAAAAGGCUGAGAUGAAGGCUGAGAUGUACUCUAAGAGAUAGAAAGAGAACAUAGUGUAGAGAAAAGAUGAGAAAAUUAUAUACGAGUUAUUAUUCUUUCUUGAAAUAAAUUUAUAUUUAUAAUUUUUCCUGUUUCAUAAAAGUGAGCAUUACUUCUUUAUCUCUUUUAAAUGAUAUAUUUAUGUUUGACUGUGAAAUGUCUUGCUUAAACCAUCAAAGAUCAAAUAUGAAAGAUGAUCAAUUUGAAAGGAAAAAAACAUGAAAAAUAUUAAAAAAUUUAACUGAAUAACUUAAGAUGAUACAUAAAUUAUUGUGAACUCUCACAUUAUCUAUCUUAGAUUUUUAAAAAACAAACCUGAAAAAACUAUAUUUUAAAAAAAUUCAAAGGGAUACAAGUCAAGAAAAAUGAUAUUACUAAGAUAUAGCAUUAGAAUUAUGAAAUUUUAAGUAUUACAUUACAAUUUAAUUCGUAUGUAUUGCUAACCAAAUUAACCUCAAAUGUCAUGCACCUAACCAAAUUAACCUUCUAUAAAUCUAUGUACAAACAUAAUUUUUCACUUAUCACCUCUCGACCAUAUUCUAACAGCACCUAACCUUCGAAAUCCACAUAUUUUGACUCUUUCAACGUCACCUUCUCCAUUUGAUUAUUCAAAUUUACCAUAUCAAUAACAACUCAACUCCCCUUCCCACCUCAAUUUUCAUAUUCCAUCUAAUGCAAAAUCAAUCAUAAUUUUGUGUCAAAGAUAUAAGGUGAAUUGAAUGAUUAAAGAAAAACUAAAGAGAAAAAAGUCACAAAUUUAAUCUCUUUUAUUAACAGUAGUAACAAUAAAUAUUUAUAUUUAAAAAAAACAUAGUUUUGUCUGGAAAAUGCCUAGUGAUGAACUGAUGAUGCACUCAAGUACUAAAUUGACAUACAUCAUUUCCUCUCCACGAUUGACACGUUGGUUUUCCACUCCAAGGAAAAAAAGACUUUAAUGUAAUUAGAUUAUAUAUCUCUCCUUAAGUUGUAACAACAGUUACAACAUUUCCAUGGUUCCACCUAUUUCUUGAGGUGUGUGGAUUAUCUCCUGCCAUCUUGCCUCUCCAGCAAGAAAAACCAAGCGAGGAGAGGACAUAGAAUAGAAAAGAGAGAGAUAAGUUGAAAGAUAAAAGAAAAAAUAGAAAAGGAAGAGAAAGAUAGAGAUAUUGAAGAAGGUCGGAGAGGAUCUGAAUAUUUACUCAAGCUAAGCUUGUAGUAUCUAAUAACAUUAUUGUUUGUAUUUUAAAAAAUUCAGGAUAUUUUUUUCAUAAAUUAAUAACUAAUCCUUUGAAGUAUUGAAAUGAUUUAAAAGACACACCGUCUCUUAUAGAUUUUUUUUUUUUACUCGUAAUAGAUAUCAAGAAUGACAAGGCUUAAUCAAAUUUGUUUGAUAAAUAAAAAUGAGAGACACAAGAACAACUCUAAAUAAUUUGAAACUAACAAAUUAUAACUGUAUUAAAAUAAUAAAAUGUAUACUAAAAAUAAUAAGAUAUAAUUUUGGCAAUAAAAUAAUGAAAACAAUAAUUGAGUAUUGUAUUUUUUAUAAUAUGUAAUUAUAUAAAUAUGAGUAUUGUAAUUUUAUAACUAUGGACAAAGAUACGCACUAUUUAUCUAUUGAUUUUUACAAACAAUAGAUAAAUAGUGCGUACCUUUGUUCAUAGUGAAGCUUCUCUUUUGUGUACUUUGAUUCUUGGAAAGAUGAGAAAAAGAAGAUUUUAAUUUGCUUUCUUGACUAUUUUUUGUCCCUCUACGUUUGUGAUUCGUAUUGACAAUUCAUAUGAUUCAUACGGAUCAACAAUUCAUAUGAGUUUAAAAAAAAUUCAUAAAGAUCAUCAAUCCGUAUGAGUUAUAUGGAUCGCCAAUCCAUAUGAAUCAUAUGAAUCACCAAUCCCUUUCACCUAUGUUGCUGGGUGUUCCAGCAAAAAUGUUGGGUGGCCAAAACAACUACCUUUUUAUUGGUUGGUACUUUUCGAGGGUCGCUAGCAACAUGUGAUGCAACUUGGGCUGUUACUAUUUGCAUCUCUAACUAUUUCAUGUAGGCUCUGGCUAUUACACCUACGUAUUCCCUAAGUACACCCAUGUACCCCCCCUUUACCUCUCAAUUACCCUUUAUACUCUUUUUCUUAAAAGCAUAUACCCCUUUUGCUUUCAGAAAUGUAUUUAUGGAAUUACACAUUCAUAUUCUGGAAAUGUAUCUCCGAAACUAUGGUUCAUAGUUCCAAAGAUAUACUUCUAGAAUUGGUAUAUAUUUUUUUAAUAAAAUAUCAUUUAAGAAAUAAGAUUAUUGAUAAGAAAUUAAAAAAAUAUGAUAAAUAUUUAUCUUAUAUUCAUGUUUAUUAGUCUUAUUUUCAUCUCAUCAUUAAUGUUCUUUAAACCUUAAUCAUAAACUAUUGUCACCGUAUAUUCAUUAUAUAAUAUAGCAUUUUUAUCAUUAUUUUACAAUAUUUUAUGUUUUCCUUUAUGUGACACUGAAUUCCAACAUACGUUCAUCACUAAUGUCCAUUUUGCUAGAUAAGGAACUUAGCUCAAUACAAUUUUGAAUAUACCUUUUUUCAAGAAUAAUGUUCAUUUCUUUUUCUAUUGAUCUCUAAGUAGUUAGUAACUUAGAAACCAAGUAAAGGGUUGAUAGAUAAGACAAGAAAAACUAUAUUAGACUAAAUAGGGAAAGAGAGAAAAAGAGAAAAAAAAGAGAAAGAUAUCCUUGAGAUUGAUGUUAAGAUUGUUUUGUCUUUGAUUUGGUUUGGUUUAGGGUGAGGAUGCAAAGAGUGAAGAUCUAUUAUAUAGGAGGGGUGUGAGUGAUUGAAACUGAUGAGUUAGGCACAAAGGAAAAGAAGAACUAACUUGUACGUGGAAGUGGAGUGUGACAAUGCAACAUGGGAUUUGUUAGGGCCCAUAGUGGGUCAAUCAAUAUGUUUUCCUCCUCUCUUAAGGGAAAAGAUAGACACAUGAGUGGGAAAAUACAUGAGUGGUUGAAACUGAUGGCAGUUAGGUACAAAGGAAAAAAAGAGGUAGUUGUUUACUUGUACGAGGAUGUGUUCGGUGUGUGGGAAAAUACACGGGUUUGGGAAACUGAUGAUAGUUAGGUACAAAGAAAAAGAAGAGGUAACUGUUUAACUGUAUGUGGAAGUGGAGUGUGACAAAUGCAAUAUGGGAUUUGAGAAAGAGGCCCUUAACGUUAGACAUCAAUCAUUAUAUGUACCAUUCAAUGUGUCUUCUGUUAUUUUUUCUAUUCCGUUUCUUCUUGGCCAUCGUUUUUCUCUGUGCAUUACUGCACUGUAAGAUGCAUUUGUCUCAGCCAUCAUCAGGGAUGAAUUGAAAUUAUGAGCAAUGCAUGUUGUUUGUUAUAUAAUAUAUAUGUAAUGGAACACAUGACUUUCUGCAUAUUGCAUGGUUGCAAGACACUGUGGAUGUUGAUCGAGCCUUGAAUAUGGCAGUUAGGUACACGGUUAGCAUGCAUUGCCGAAACACAUGUUGUCAUAUCUAGCUAGCAAAGAAUUCCUUUACAUUUGAUGGAUAAUUAAUAACUUUUGAGAUUGUUUAACUCUUUUGUUUGUGCUCACGUUGGUUUGGAUUCAAAUGCUUGACAAAAAAAGAUAAUGACAAGAAAAGGAUAAUCAAAAUGGUUUAAGAGAAAUGUGUUUAGUUUAAGAGGAAUGAAUAAAUAAAUAAAAAUAAUUUAUUCAAUUAAAAUAAUUUAUUUUCAAAAUAUAUAGAUCGAUUGUCAAAAUGUAUAAUCAAUUAUUCAAAAAAAAAAUUGAUAAUCAAUUGUAGGACAUGAAAAUCAAUUUUCAAGUUUUCAAAAUCGAUUUUCAUAGAGUGUUUACUGAUAUGGUUGGAGGUAUAUAAUUAAAUUAAAGUAUAAUGGGAUAAUUAAGUAUUAGGUUUCUCUUAAAAUUAUCUCUUUUGUUCUAUUGUGUUUACUAAGCCUAAUUUAACUAAAAAUCCCUUUAGAAGAUCUUCUUGCUUAUUUAUUCAGUAUGAAUCAAUUUAAUAAAAGUAAUAAGGACUCAAGAAUUAUCCGUUUGCAACCCAUCAUAUAACAUGAGAACAUCUAGCCAUAACUCAAACAUCACCACUUAUUUCCACUACCACACAAAUCACACCAUCAUGUGCUUCAAGGAAGUGUAAAAAUGAAUAUGACAGAAGAGAUAUAAGUAAGCAUGUGCCUAUGGCUCAUUUGUAGUCGUAUUGCUACAUACUAUUAGCAUGUCUAAGAUCUAAUGGGGAGUGGAGAAAGUUACGCCAAAAGUAGAGGCAAAGUAGCUUCAAUAAUGUUAUUUCAAUGGGUCAAGGAGGCUGGCUUUUGGACAAGUCAUAGCAUAUUUGAUUUGAAUUAUGGCCAAUUCUACAGUGAUAAUCAACUGUGGUUGGGAUCUGUGCUGAAUUUAUUCAUUAUCAUAGGAUACAAAUAAACAACAAUAAGUUGUAUGCAAGAAUUUCUCAUUUGGAUUUGUUAAUGAUUUCCAAUCAAACUAAUAUGUAAAAAGGACUAAAGGCUACCACUUCAAAAGCAUUAAAAACUAAAUUUUGUUUAUGUUGCAUCCUUUUUCUAAAAGCAAAUUCUUUCAGCUUUUUUUUUCUAGAAUGCGUUAGCAGUGUUUUUUUUUUAAUAAAUAAGAGAUUCAUAAAUCUAUGACGUACUUUGUCCAGCUACCUAUCUAUUACCCUAUAUGAAUCUUGGCAAAGUCUGACUAAAUUCUAUUCAGUCCUACCUAGCCCAUGCAACAGAUGUUGUUAGUUUGAUUUGCGUUCUCAUAGGAGAAGCCUGACAGCCUAAUGUAACAUGUUUGGAUUAGGCCUAUGAAUAUUAUGCAGCACCAUUGGAGUAAAAACUUGCCGAGUGCAAAAAACUAGUUCAGUGGCUAAAGAGAAGUGUUUUAUAAGUGGACUAACAUUCACAAGUGCUUGGAUUAUGAAGAUCUCGAGUUACUAUAGUUGUUCCUUGCUGGCUAGGUCAUAUCACAUUUAGAACAAGAGAGAUGCUAUAACAUAUUUUCUAACUCUCCUUAUUCCUUACACUUGUUGGAAAUUAUAAAAUUAUGUAAAUUGUUAACUCAUUGGCAAGUGCACCAAUUUAUCACAAAUAGUAAAGUUAAAAUGGAAGUACGAGCAUCAAAUCCACAAGGACUUUAUUUGUAUUUAAAUUGAUGCAAACCUAAUUUACAAGUAAGAGAUAAGGAAUUUAAAAUAAAAGAUAAUUAAAGAGAGUUAAAAGAUAAGAUAAAUAUUUAAAUUAAAAGAUGAUAAAGAUAGAAGAUAAAAAUGAUGAUAAUAUGUUCAAAUUCUUAAAGAUAAAUUCAAAAUUUAAAAUAUGUUGGGGCCAAGCAUGCCUAAUCCUUGAUGGUGUUUCUCUAUUUAAUGUUAUUCGAUUUUCACCCAUAUCUAUUAAGAUACUGAACACUGUGAUCCCUCAUGAUGAAGAGCUUAAUUUAUCUAUUCUCUCUCAAAUCUCUUUGCAGAGAUAAAACAAUAAAUUGCAUGUAGUUAGGAUACUCUUUCCCUAGCAAUGAUUUGUUCAGAUGUUCUCUUCCAAUUCUUUAGAAAUUAUCAUUUCCCAAUGUCUAAUCCCUAAACAAAUGCAGGAUGAUCAGACCAUACAAUACAAUAAAACACAAGAAAGAAACAAUAAAAAUUGACAUUGCAUUCAAUAGAUAGUAAGAAAAGAUUAUAUUACAAGGACAUUGGUUUCUCGGCUCCUAACAAUGAAGGUUUAGUCUCUCAUUGCAUUCAAUAGAUAGUAAGGAAAUAGUGUUGCUUGCACUAGUCUUAAAUACAAUAACCACUUUUAACUAAAACUCUCUGUUAUAUACGUCUUAAAAUUUAAAAUUAUAAGAAUAUGAAAAUUAAUAAUUUUUUAAAAUUUAUUUCCUAUCCUUCUUAACUAAAUAAAGUAUCUAAUCAAAAUCUCUUUUCUCUCUUCCAUUGAAAUCACUCACGUUCCCUACUCUCUAUCCAAGCAGUCCCAGAAGCCACUAUUUCAGUUUUAUUUCUUAAUAUAGCAUUGUAAAAAUUAGUAACCAUCUGCCCAAAACCUCAUCAAUUAUAGCAUUCAACGAGAAACUCGUAAUAUAUUUUGGUUGGAUUUUCAAGAUAAAUUUCUCUUAUUCUUAUUUGAAACCGUGAAAAAGAAAGAAAACUCAACAAAAGUCCCACCUAGAAAUGUUUUCCAGCCCCUCACCAUGCCAAAAUAUCCUGGCAGGAAGCGGCAAUAGGGGAAUAUUUUGAGCAAAAAGUCUAUGAUCUUAGUUUCACCUUCUCUCAAAUCUUUUUAUCUCAUUUAUUUAAAACUUCAAAUUUAAGUCUAUUAAUAUUUUUCAUUUGUAUAAAUUUUGAAUGUUUCUAUGUUUAUCUUUAUAAAAAAAUUGAAAUAAUUUUUGUACAAAAGUUAGGAUUAUUGACACCAAGAGAAAAUUCCUUCGGUGCACCAAGUUGUUUAAAGUAAUAAAGUUUGAUGAAGCAUUCUUGGAGUCCAAGUGCGAGUAACAAGUCAAACAUUGGAUAAAAAUAGACAUAUUGUUGAACAACAUAUAAGUGAAAAUGAUUUGUAAAUCGCUUGUUUUAUGGCUUUAGAUUAGAUGUGGUGUCAAAUUGAUUUAUGUAGUUUUCUUGUGGCCCAUCUAUAGAUAUCUCAAUGUUAUUUUACUCAUUAUAUUUCCAAACAAAGGGUAUCGAGGCAAAUGGUGCCCUCAUGGAGGAGCUUCGUUUAUGAAGAAUUUCAGUGUUUUUCUUUUAUUAGCAUAUAUAAAUUCAUAAAUUUCGAUCGAGUUUGAAUUUGUGAGAUUCAGAGUGUUAGUUUUUCAAUGCGAUAGAGAUUAAAUAAUAAUAUGGUAAAACAUGUUUUUGUUCUAUAAAACGUCUGAAGUUUAGUUUUAGUCUAUUAAAAAAUUUGGUUUGUUUUUCGUCCUUCUAAUUUUAUAAUGUAUCAUUUUUAUUCCCUCAAGUAUUAUUUAAACCACUUUUCGUCUCUCUAUAAAGUACUAUCAAAGUCACAUUAAAGAUAAAAAGUGGCGCGCUUCAAUAUUAGAAAGACAAAAAAAUGGACAAAUUUUUAGACGGAAUAAAACCAAACAUUAAAAAUUUGAGAGAUCAAAGACAUAUUCUACAAAAAGAUAAACCACAAAGUGGCAAGGGUCAAAUAAAAAAUAUAAAAACCUUUAUUUCAGGUCAAUUUUACCCAUACCUUACUGGUUUAAAUUACCUUCGAUAUCAAAUCAAUUUUAAUGCUUUGUCAUACAUCACUCAUAAGGUGAUACACCUUACCCUGAACCAUAUAUCUAAUAGCAUUUAUUUUGAAAUAUGAAAAAAAAUAAUUAUAUCUAAUAUUCAUAUUGUUUAAAAUAUUAAAUAUUCGUGCCAGUACACCUAAAGUUUAAGAAGACACAUGUUAAAAAGACAUAUUAGUUUAAAAAGUAAAUUACACUAAUUUAAAGUUUUGUGAAAUUACACAAAUUGCAUUCCAUGUUAGUGUAUUUUACUCUAAUUUAAAAUUACAGUUAGAUGUUUAUGGAGCAUGUGCUAACUUGUCUUAAGGAAAUGUUUGUGUACAAACAAAAGUUGUUCCUUAAUUUUGAACUUUGGAGGUCAUUUUCUAAGUGUACGCAUAUGAAAAAAUAUUUUAAAAAAUUAUACAAAAAUAAUAAUUAUAUAUAAUAAAAUAGAUUAUAUUAAUUAUUUCAUAUUCAAAUAAAAAUUAUUUGUUUAAUCAUUUUCUUAUUGCAGACAUUUAAGAGUGAAUAAAAGUAAGAAAUUUUUUAAUUUGUAACCUGUCUCUAAGACGGGUGCAUAUUGUAGUACCAACUAUAGACCUUAACUCAUACCACAUUUACUAUUGGUAGAACGCAAAUCAAGGUUAUAAAUUGAUGGAUUAGCAUAAAUUUGUCAAAAAAAAGUCAUAAAGGCUAACCAUAUACACUAUGUGGCCUUUACAUUCCUUCUCUCCCUUUCUUAUUUUAGAAAAUAUGAUUUUUAGCAUUUUAACAAACCACAAAUAGCAUUUGAAUGAUUCAACUGUAUUAGGUGUUCAAUAUCAUUUUUUUAAUGUAUAAAUAACACUUUACAUUGCAUCCCCAAACUACAAAAACAUAUUCUUCAAUGGAAUUUGGCAAAAAGUAGCCAUCGCCCCAACGAUCCCAUUUCCCUUGACUUCUCUACGUGAAGAUCCUUGUGUCGCAUAGUACGUGCAUAAAUUACUAUACAAGUUAAUUUGAGGAAUGCAAUAUAUUUAUAUUUUAUGUAAAUGUGACUUUCUUAUUAUUAGAUUUCGAUCUUUUAAAAAAAUAUUGUCUAUAGUUUCUUGAUGACGAUGUUAUAUGCUUUUCGUUAUACCCUAUUACAUGUCACAUCAAAAUGGUUGGUGGUGCGACAUGAGUAGUUGCAUGACAUGUUAUAACCAAGCGACUAUAUAAAGUUUUUUUUUAAAAAAAACAAUUAUAGAGAUGAAAAAAGAAUCAAAAUCAAAUAAGUCAUGUUUAGAGUUUAAAAACAUGUCCAUUCUUAAUUAGUGCAGAGGAAUAUUAUGGUCAUAUUACUUGUCAUAUUAACUAAUUUUACAUAAAUAUUCAUUUAUGACAGGAGCUAGUUAAAAUGUCUGAGGGAAAUGCAGGGAAAGGAAAGAGAAUCGCCAUCAUUGGCGUCUCAGCCUUAUUGUUGGUGGCUAUGGUUGUGGCAAUCACAGUUGGGGUCAAUCUCAAUGAGAAUGGUUCCAACAAUGAUACAGAGGACAACAAGAAAAAUCAUGUUGUUUCUUCUAUAAAAGCCGUCCAAACCCUUUGUCAUCCCACAAAUUAUAAGAAAGAAUGCGAGGAAAGCCUUAUAGCUGGGGCUGGAAAUACCACAGAUCCAAAAGAACUUAUCAAAAUUUUCUUCAACAUCACCAUUACAAAAAUUGGUGAUAAACUCAAAGAAACUAAUAUUUUGCAUGAGGUUGAGGAGGAACCCAGAGCCAAGAUGGCACUUGAAACAUGCAAGCAACUCAUGGAUCUUUCUAUUGGGGAAUUAACAAGGUCACUUGAUGGAAUAGGUGAGUUUAACCUCAUAAAUGUUGACAAAAUCCUCAUGAAUUUAAAAGUUUGGCUUAGUGGCGCGGUUACAUACCAAGAUACUUGCUUGGAUGGGUUUGAGAACACCACUAGUGAUGCUGGCAAAAAGAUGAAGGAUUUGUUGACGAUAGGCAUGCAUAUGAGCAGCAACGCCCUUGCCAUUGUAACAGAUUUAGCUGACACUGUUAAUGAUUGGAAUAUCACAAAAUCAUUUGGGCGUCGCCUCCUUCAAGAUUCUGAGCUUCCGUCAUGGGUUGAUCAACAUAGACUCCUUAAUGAAAAUGCAAGUCCAUUAAAACGCAAGCCUAAUGUUACUGUAGCCAUAGAUGGUAGUGGAGAUUUCAAAAGCAUCAAUGAGGCAUUGAAGCAAGUGCCUGAGAAAAACCGAAAGCCAUUUGUGAUCUACAUCAAGGAAGGCGUUUACCAAGAGUAUGUUGAAGUUACAAAAAAAAUGACCCAUGUGGUGUUUAUUGGUGAAGGGGGGAAAAAGACACGAAUAUCUGGUAACAAAAACUUCAUAGAUGGAACGAACACUUAUAGAACUGCCACUGUCGGUAUGUCUCUUUUCGUGAUUAUCAACUUAAUUAACUUACUAGUCCUAUGCAUUUGAGUAAAAAAAACUUAAUUAAUAACUUAUCCAAUAAAUUUAUUAAAUGAAACCUUAUUCAUGAGUCAGACAGUGAAGCUUACCAAAAUGAGAUUAAAAGAAACUAAAUUUAUUACUCAUGUGCAUUUGGGUAAAAAAAAACAUAAUUAAAAACUUAUUCAAUAAAUUUAUUAAAUGAAACCUUAUUCUUGAGUCAAACUUUGAAGCUUGCUAAAAUGAGAUUAAAAAAACUAAAUUUGAUAAGUUUCUCCAUAAAACUCUGAAGUUUAUAAAAAUAUCAUAUGUCAUGUUCUUCAACUUGAAUAAACUCUUUGAAAAGUCCUUUCCUUACUUAACAUUUUAAGGUCCAUAGUUUUUAUUUGAAAACACCUUUAACCCGCCCCAAAAUGAAUAAAUUAAUAAAAGAUACAUUUACAAAAUUUAAUUAAACAAAAAAAUUAAAAAUAAACCAUUUGUAAUUCAAGGGAAUUUUUUAUUCAAAUAAAUAAAUUAACUACUUUAUGCAUGCAGCUAUUCAAGGAGAUCACUUUGUGGCCAUCAAUAUGGGGUUUGAGAAUUCUGCUGGACCUCAUAAGCAUCAAGCGGUGGCAUUGAGAGUCCAAGCAGACAAGUCCAUCUUUUACAAUUGCUCAAUGGAUGGGUAUCAAGACACACUUUAUGCACACACCAUGCGUCAAUUCUAUAGAGAUUGCACCAUUUCAGGUACCAUCGACUUUGUGUUCGGUAAUGCACUAGCUGUUUUUCAAAAUUGCACUUUCGUGGUCCGAAAGCCACUGGAGAACCAACAAUGCAUUGUGACUGCACAAGGUAGAAAAGAGAGACAACAACCAUCUGGAAUAGUAAUCCAAGGGGGAUCCAUUGUGUCUGACCCUGAGUUCUACUCAGUGAGAUUUGAGAACAAGGCUUACCUAGCUCGUCCAUGGAAGAAUUACUCUAGGACCAUUAUCAUGGACACGUACAUUGAUGAUUUGAUUGACGCUGAUGGGUAUUUGCCAUGGCAAGGACUAGAGGGUCCUUCUGGUAUGGAUACUUGCUUCUAUGCCGAGUACCACAACAUUGGCCCCGGUUCAGACAAAUCCAAGCGUGUGAAAUGGGCUGGGAUUUGGAACCUCAAUUCAAAAGCAGCACGUUGGUUCUCACCAUCUAAGUUUUUUCAUGGAACUGAUUGGAUUGAGGUUACCGGAAUUCCUUGCUUUC